UCAAAAAUAAAUAUUUAAAAUAAUAAUAAAAUAUAGUAGCAUUUAACUAUAGGGAGCCACUAGGAGUUAUUUUCUCUCUCCUCACAUUUAGGAGUUCUUAAAGGUCUCCUUAUUUUAGGAGCUGGAUAGGGAACCUGAUUGGAAGUGGGUUUUUUCAAUUCCCUAAAUUUUAGACGAAGGAGGUGAUUUAAGGAGCCCAUUGUGAAUGCUCUUAUGAUUUUAUCAGUAUGCCGGGAGGCUUAGUGUGCUAGUUGCUUUGUACUUUGCCUCCUUGAAUUUUGGAGUGCUUAUUGUUGAAUGUACUACUUGUUAUUAGUUACGCCUUUUGUUGACUUGAUUUUGAAUCUUCCCCAAUGCUCCAUAUUCUUAUGUCUAUGGGUAGAAUAAAAGUCGGUUAAUAUAUAUAUACUCAAACUUGGUUAAUAAAACUUGGGGUUUGAUUAAUUUGACUUGUAUGGGGUUUGCUCUCCAAGUGCUUUUGUUCCCCCCUUCUUCCUUAACAUGGUCAUACAUAACUCCGAUUAGAAGAAAAUAAGCAAGAAAAUUAUGAAUCAAUAGGAAUAAGAAUAAGUAAUAAUUUAUCUCUAUAAAAAAAAUGUAAUAAUUUAUAUUGCAAAGUGGUAGACCGGAAUAAGUAAAAGAUACAAUAACCUUUUUCUUUUUUGUUUUUCUCAUGAGAGAUGCUCAAUAUAUCUAUAUAUAUAAAGCGAAAGGUAGAGAAACAUUCAAAAUACUAGAAAAUGCCCUUGGUUAAUGCAAACAUUAAGAAUUAAAAUUAUUAAUUAAAUAAGGAUAAUAUGGUAAAUUCACAUUUUUUCAUAUUUAAAAAAUUAAAAUCAAAAGAAAAAUCAGAUAAAAGGAUCCUAUUUUUAUAAACCACAACUACCCAUUAUCUUUUUUAAUUCUAAAAUAAAUUUAAUUUUUUUAUAUAAAAAAGGCCUCUCGUAGGUGCGAAAGCUGUGUGCGGAGAAGCUAGUCUUUUAAUUAAGAGAAGAAAAUAUGAUGCCAAAAUAAUAAAAAAAUCAAGAAAAGAAAAUAUGAAAUAUAAAAACGAAUACUUUGGAAAAUUUGUAAUAUUUCAUCAACAUUUACCAAAUAUAAUUUGCCAUAUUUUCAAUUUUACAAAUGAUUAGAAAAUCCACUUUCAACAAAAAACAUAGUAGAUAAUAAAGAAACGAAUUUUUCCAUCCUAAUCCAAUUACAAAUAGAAGAAAAACUUUUGCCCAAACUAUUCAAGCUAAUCCCAUUUUUCUAGGGUUUUAGCGCGUUGCUCAAGUUACAAGCUAGAUAUAAACCCCAAAGUAUUAGGUUUCCUUGUUCGUUGCUUUGAUAUAUAAUUAUUAAGAACCAGGGUUUCCUUGUUACUAUUUCCUUCACUGCUCUCUAUACCAUGGUUUCUUCUUUGAAUUUCAAGAGCAAUAGGACGGCCACUGGCCGCAGCAGAAUCCCCAGCAACUCCAUCCCUCAAGCUUUGUGUCCCGAUCCCAUCACCAACCUCGUACAAAUGGCUGCGGUCAAGGCCAGAGAGGCUGCAGAAGCAUACUUCACGCUUCGACAUUUCGACUGUGCGAUCAUGCAGGCAAGGGCAGCCAAAGAGUUGUAUCCAGAGUUCCCUGGUAUGGACAAUUACAUGGCCGCAUACCAAAUUCAUUCUGCCGUAUCACACAAGAAAAACUGGUACCAUAUUCUUGGCAUCCCCAACCCUGCCAUUGCCGACUCUGAAGCCAUCAAGAAACAAUACAAGAGAUUGGCGCUUGCCUUGCACCCUGAUAAGAACUGGUCUAUUGCUGCGGAUGGUGCUUUCAAGUAUGUUAAAGCAGCCUGGGAUGUUCUCUCCGACCGUGCGAAAAGAGAGGCUUACGACAAGUCUUUAAGUCCGAGGUCUCAAGGGGCUCGUGGUUCCAAUAACAGCAAACCAGCGCAGCAGCAGAGGUCCAAUGCCUGUUCUCGCAAAAGGGCCGGCCCUGAUGCUAAUUCUACCGGAGGAGAUGGGAGUUUCUACAAGAAAACCAUUAAGAUUGUAAGAAAAUCAAAUCCGGGCCAAAGGGCGACUGUUGUGAUGUUAUCAGUAUGCCGGGUGGCUUAAUGUUACUUGAUUUGUAAAUUGCCUCGAACUUUUGGGUGAUUAUUGUUGUAUGUAACCACUUGAUAUUCAAUACAACUUUUGUUGAAAUAAUUUUGAACCUAAUUCUUAUGUCUAUUGUAGAUUCGGUCAAUUACCAGUGUAGGGCAUGGGGUAGAAAUCAAUUGGUUAAUACUCAAAAUUGGCAGAUUUAUUACACCAUCUAAAACCACCUGAAACCCCAAGCAUGCCUAUGCGAUUUGCUACGAGUCUCUUCAGAAGUUACAAGUUUCUGUUGAAAAAGACUUAACAGAUUUUUGAUUUGGUAAGAGAUGACAAGUCUUCCUCAUGAUCGAUUCAUGCCCUAUUGUUGCCUGAGUAUCAGCCAUGCUUAGCUUAAUAGCGAGUAGGAAUAACUAUUGAGGUUUUGCAAAACCUGAAGAGGAAACUUUGUGGGUGAAUUUGCCCUGGGUCUCUCAUAUUGUGGGGACAUCAAGAGCCUAUUUGGCCAAUCUGGAACUGUCAAAAAGUUCGGGUUUGAUUAAUUUGACUCGUAUGGGGUUUGCUCUCCAAGUAUGCUUGUUCCUUCCCUUCUUCCUUUUCCAUGACAAGUCUUUGUGAAAUAACUCUGAUGAGACUUACAAAGAAUCUCAGUUUUGAGUUGUAACAAGCAUAUAUAGUUAGGAUUAAUUUCUUUUUUCUUCUUCUCAUGAGUGAUAAUCAAUCUGUUUUGAACAAGCAAUAGUACUGUUGGUCCCUUUUCCUGCCAACAUUCUUUUUGUGGUUUGCUCUGUAUUGAGCCGCUCUGGAGAGUGGGAAGGUCGUCGGAUCAACACCAAUGCCCCGAUUGGAUUUCUAGCUCGCGAGGAAGAUUCUUUUAACUUUUGGACAAAAUUGAAAGUUGGAUCAGGUUGAUAGGAAUAGGCAAGCUCGGGUUGGGCCCUAUCGACUUGUUCCUUCUGUCCUGGUCGUGGAUUGCAUAGGCGUGCCACUAUUGGGUAUGAGACCAGCCCAUAAACCUGGUAUAUGUAGUGUAGGAUGUUGAUAUGUUGUACUUGCACUUAUUCUAGACUUCUGCUCAAGCCAUUGUGCUCCAAGGGGGGUACUGGCCUGGAUGAGUUCUUUUCUAUACCUCAAAUAAGAGGACUUCAAUACUCUUUCAUUUGUGCGUGUCGGUUUGAUAGAUACGAUCAAUACUUGAUCAAACAAGGGGGAAAACCAGAGUCGUGGUUAAUGGUACCCUAUUUGGGUUCAGAAACCUAACUUAAAUCCAAUAAACCCCUAAUUUGGGUCAAGAUUUUGGUCAAUUCUAGCCCAAUGGUAUAGUUCGGGCAUGAAUUAACCUUUACUUUCUAACUAACGGGGCCCUAUUCGGGCCUAGACCUCUGUUUUGGGUUCAAAUGGUAAAUUUGAAUAAUAUAAAAGAGGGAAACUAAACUAGUAUAUAUAUAUAUAUAUAUAUGUGUGUGUGUAUAUAAAAAUAAGCAAUUAAAUAGCAGAUACUUAAUGAAAUAGUCAAGAAAAUUCCAAGAUUUCUUCAUCCAAUUUUAACUUGAUAACAAAGAAAGACAGGAGUCAUAAAUUUGUCCAUUUAACUAAUUCAAAACAACGUUUAAAUAUAAGGAAAACUAGAGAUUUCUCUAUCUAGUUCGAGCAAUACAUAAAUUCAAAUUGAUCGUUUAAAAGAAAUCAUACCAAGAGAAUGGCAGAGCAACAAAAGAUGAACGUAGGAGUUGUCAACUAGUUAUUUGAAUAUCAAGUAGGCUUUGUUUGAAAAGAUCUUGAGUUUUUUCAAGUGUUUUCAAGAUGUUGCAUCUAAUUUUUGGAGAGAGAGUCCCCUUCUUCUGUUGCGGAAGCUCUAUACUUAUAGACAAGAAAUCUCAAUGAUGAAAGUUGAAAGAGGAUAUUUGGCUACUAUCCAAUGUCAGCUGUUGAUAUGUUUUUUUGGAUUGGUUUAUAGGUGAGCGGAAUAUCUCUAACAAAACCACUGGUUAUACGAGAUGUUUCUCUGACUUGAGUUCUCUAUAUCUGGAAAUCCAGUUGGCAAUCGGCUCCUUUAGGUCCUUGUGGCUUUUAUCCAGCUUGCUUUUCUUGUUGGGUGAGAAGACGGUCAAGUCGCUAUUAAUGGUGACAAUCCUUCUUCAAACCCUCAUGUGGGUCGAUGUACAACGGUUACCAAUUUUUCAAACUUUAGUGUGGAUCAAAGUUUGGGCUUCCUGGCACUAUGGGCUUCUAUUAAGUUUUACCCGUUGUUGGCCCAUUAUUAAAAAGGGUUCUUUUUGUCUUUUCAAAAGGAAAGAAAUUAAAAGAUAUUGGGCUUGGGCUUGAAUAGCCAUUUUUUCUGAGAAAUAGACCAUUUUUCGGCCUAGGCUUUAAAAGAUACCAUAACUUUUUUCUUUUUUCUUUUUCCCAUGAGAGAUGCUCAAUCUUGUAAUUAAGAGAAGAAAAUAUGAUGCCAAAAUAAAAAUAAAAAUUCAAGAGAAGAAAAUAUGAAAUAUAAAAACGAAUACUUUGAAAAAUUUGUAAUAUUUCAUCAACAUUUACAAAAUAUAAUUUGCCAUUUUUUCAAUUUAUAAAUUAUUAGAAAAUCCACUUUCAACAAAAAAAUAGUAGAUAAUAAAGAAACGAAUUUUUCUAUCCUAAUCCAAUUACAAAUGGAAGAAAAACUUUUGUCCAAACUAUACAAGCUAAUCCCAAUUUUCUAGGGUUUUAGCGUGUUGCUCAAGUUACAAGCAAGAUAUAAACCCCAAAGUAUUAGGUUUCCUUGUUCGUUGCUUUGAUAUAUAAUUAUCAAAGUACCAGGGUUUCCUUGUUGCUAUUUUCUUCACUGCUCUCUACACCAUGGUUUCUUCUUUGAAUUUCAAGCGCAAUAGGAUGGCCACUGGCCGCAGCAGAAUCCCCAGCAACUCCAUCCCUCAAGCUUUGUGUCCCGAUCCCAUCAUCAACCUAGCACAAAUGGCUGCGAUCAAGGCCCGAGAGGCUGCAGAAGCAUACUUCACGCUUCGACAUUUCGACCAUGCGAUCAUGCAGGCAAGGGCAGCCAAAGAGUUGUAUCAAGAGUUCCCUGGUAUGGACAACUACAUGGCUGCAUACCGAAUUCAUUCUGACGUAUCACACAAGAAAAACUGGUACCAUGUUCUUGGCAUCCCCAACCCUACUGUUGCCGACUCGGAAGCCAUCAAGAAACAAUACAAGAGAUUGGCACUUGCCUUGCACCCUGACAAGAACGGAUCUAUUGCUGCCGAUGGUGCUUUCAAGUAUGUUAAAGCAGCCUGGGAUGUUCUCUCCGACCGUGCUAAAAGAGAGGCUUACGACAAGUCUUUAAGUCCGAGGUCUCAAGGGGCUCGUGGUUCCAAUAACCGCAAACCAGCGCAGCAGCAGAGGUCCAAUGCCUGUUCUCGCAAAAGGGCCGGCCCUGAUGCUAAUUCUACCGGAGGAGAUGGGAGUUUCUACAAGAAAACCAUUAAGAUUGUAAGAAAAUCAAAUCCUGGCCAAAGGGCGACUGUUGUGAUGUUAUCAGUAUGCCGGCUGGCUUAAUGUUACUUGAUUUGUAAAUUGCCUCUAAUUUUGAGGUGAUUAUUGUUGUAUGUAACUACUUGAUAUUCAAUACACCUUUUGUUGAAAUAAUUUUAAACCUAAUUCUCAUGUCUAUGGUAGAUAAUCUGUCAAUUACCAGGGUAGGGCAUGGGGUAGAAAUCAAUUGGUUAAUACUCAAAAUGCCAACACAGAAAUACUGUCAAGAAACCAUAAACAGAUUUAUUACACCAUCAAAAAACACCUGAAACCCAAAUUCCACCUAAAACCCCAAGCAUGCCUACGCGAUUUGCUGCGAGUCACUUCAAAAGUUACAAGUUUCUGUUGAAAAGGACUUAACAGAUUUUGAUAAGAGAUGACAGGUCUUCCUCAUGAUCGAUUCAUGCCCUAUUGUUGUGCCUGAGAGUAGGAAUAACUGUCGAAGUUUCCUGAAGAGGAAACUUCGUGGGUGAAUUUUCUGUGGGUCUCUCAUAUUGUGGAGGACGUCAAGAGCUUAUUUGGCCAAUCUGAAACUGUCAAACAGUUGGGUUUGAUUAAUUUGACUUGUAUGGGGUUUGCUCUCCAAGUGUGCUUGUUCCUUCCUUUUUCCUUUUCAUACAAGUCUUUGUGAAAUAACUCCAAUGAGAUGGAAAAAGAAUCUCAGUUUUGAGUUGUAACAAGCAGAUGUAGUAAGGAUGCACUCAAAUUGUUCUCUAACAAAUUCUGUAUCCAUAGGACUCUGUAAUAAUAAACUUAUUAAUUUCUUUUUUGUUCUUCCCAUGAGAGAUAAUCAAUCUUUAUUGAACAAGCUGUACAUAGACAACUGAUACAAUCCAGAAGCCACAAGUAGUAGUACAUACUUAUAUAACUAGUCACAAUGAAAAAAAUGAUCUUAUCAUAUGCGCAGGAAAAAAAUCCCUCUCACAUGCACGAGACCGCAUGCUAAGAGGCAAGUAUAUUACAAUUUACAAUCACAUGACUGCCAGUAAUUAAUUAUUAUUAGUAGAAUUAAGCAAGAAAGCUUGUGAUUUUCUCUCAUAGUAAAAGUUGUUGGUAGAUGCAGCAUCAGCUGAGAAGAUCAUGACCCCAUUAAUUUCAAAGCCAUUUUUCUCCAACAGACUCAAAGCAUCAAAAAAUGCAUUCCCCUGAAUCCCUCUUCCAUUUACUUCAUAGCUAGGCAACAACUUAUCCUUUCCAAAUUGCUUGGCCCGAAAUGUGUAGGCAUCUAAAUACCCUUUUGGGGUGUUAACCUUGUCAGUGUAGAACUGGUGGUUGACAUAGUCUAUAACAUCUCCAUAACCAUUAAAAAGUUGAACAUAUGGCGCAGCCGUACUAUAAAAUGGAGCAAUGCUAGCUACUGAGAUGAGCCUUUGUUUUUUCAGACGGGUGAUGAGCUCGCCGAUGCAAAAAGCGAAAGAACUUGAUGAGUUACUGCUCUUCUGGUUCGGGAAAUUUUCGUAGUCUAUGUCAAUGCCAUCAAGAUGGUAAGUGGUGAUUAUGGAACCAAGAGAUGAGACAGCAUUGGAUAUCCAUAAGUUGGGGUCUGUUGGAUUGUACCAACGAAGGACUGUUUGGCCUAAGCUCCAACCUGAGAGGCUUGCCAAGACUUUUACGUUAGGGUGGCUUUUCUUUAUGGCCGCAACAGAUUUUGGGGUUAAUGUAGUCUCCCAGUAUGGUGAGAAUGUCCCAUUUUGUGGAUUGCCUGAUGCAUCUGCAUCAAUUGCAAAGCCGAGUAUGAAAUUGAAGUCAAUUUCAUCUUCAAUUGGUACAGAGUCAAAUUUUAUUGGAAUUCCUGAGGCUCCAAUGUACUCCAUCAUCAACUUUCCAUCUGAAUCAUGCAUAGAUAAUUUGAACGGUUAGCCACAACACAAAAGAUUAGAUAGCUAGCUUAAUAGCAUCUACUUAUAAAUAGUGAAAGCAAAUAUUUGUGGUACCAAAAAUUUUAUGUAGAUGCUGUAGCACGCAACGAUGCGUUAGGAAUUGUGGAUCCUUUAUAAGCUAUGUAUAUGGUGAGAAAUUAGAGAAAAUAGUUAGACUGCAUACCACAAAAUUGUUGAAACAUGAAUGCAGCUGCAGCAACAUAAAGGAGAAAGAGUUGAAGUUGAGUCAUUCUACUUGGUUGUCAAUUAUCUUGAAUGAAGAUGAAGAACCAAUGAAGAAAGCCGUAGUUUUUAUAAAUCUAUUGAAGUUCACAUCAAGCCGGCCAGCACCAAUGGAGCAUAUUUGCACAAUUGGAGAAAGCUGGAAAGAUUGUGAUAUCUAUAAUGAAAUGAUUGAUGACAAAAAAGAAUUUUGAAAGUUACAAGAAUUUCAUAAAGGAGAGAGAGUUGAAUUUGAAGCAUCCUGCUUUGGUUGUUUGCUUGAAUGAAUACGAAGAAAAAAAAAAAGAAUAAGUAAAGCUCUGGCUUUCAUAAAUCUAUUGAAAUUCACAUUAAGCCGGCUAAAACCAAUCUAGCGUAUACAUAUAAUGUAUAAUAUUCAUUUAUGCACAAAUGGAUUACGCUGGAAAGAUUCUGAUAUAAAGGACAAAAGGAAAUUUCUAAAGGUUACAAGAAUUUCAUCUAUGUUUGUUUCAUAACUAGGGAACUAGUCAAACAAAUAUUUGGUUACUGUUUUUGUGACACUUUCAAGGUUCAGCCGAUGUUGCAGUUCCUUGAAGCAAAAAAUAGGCAUCUUUCUAGCAUCACACCCUGACAAGAACGGCAAUCCGUCGUUGCCGAUCAUUGCGCAGUUGGUGCUGUUAAGCUCUUUCGAAUUGCCUUGGACAUCAUCUCCGACCUUGUUUUUUUCUAUCCUUUCUUUGUACUGUUGCUUAAGUGUCUGAUUUGGUGUUAUGUAAUGAUCUAAUAUUUGUUCUAAAAAGCAUUGAAAAUAGAUUCUUCCUCUCUGGUCUUACUAUAGGCACAUUUCUGGUCUGAUUUAUGGACUUCACACAUAACCCAAAUGAAAUUAAACUUUUUCUUUGGAGGGAUGCAAAUGAUAUUCACACAACUGAGACCAAACAGGUCAAGAAGUUGGUGGGUAUACCUAUUUCUUGUUUAUGCCCCCACCCAAAAAACCCCUCAAUAAAAAUUGAAUACCGGUUGGCUAAAAGGGAAGGGAAAUGAGAAGGGGGCUAUUCAGGAACGCAAAAAAGUUGCAAUAGCUGUCAAAGUUGCAUGUGAAAAACCAUCUUCAGAACCAUAUAUUUUCAUUAGAAUGAAACUAAUAGAAUACCUUUUUCUCUUUCUGGGAAAAUUAACAUUCUAUUGGUUACAGGAGUUUUUAUAGUUAAUCAACAACAGAACUGCUUCUAAACUCAGGAUUUACAUCUCCCCACAUUCAGCAAUUACACAAGCUAGUUUGGGGCGAUUGUUGGGUCCUGUAGCCACAUUCUCAAUCUUCCUAACCACCAAAAGGCCAUCUCCAAGUACUCUCUGCAUACAAAUUAACAAAACAACGGAAAACAGGUUCUCAGUACCACUAAAACUGGAAGGUUUUAAAGGGAAACAAGUAAUUUCAGGUUGAGAAACAAGAGGGGUAUAGUCAGUGGAAAUCCAUAUAGGUUGCCAGUCUUGGAAAUAUAGACAUAAGAUAAUGCAACUCCACUCUAACAAAAUUGAAAACUACAACUAUACAAAUAUGCUUAAGUUUGUUUUGCACACUCAAGGGGGUGUGAAUUUUUGGAUCCUAGAUUCAUUUUUAGGUAAAACAUUUCCCAAGGGAAUCUAACACGCCAUAGGCUGAUAUCAGAUCUUGGCUUGGGCAUGGUUAGGGACAAAGUAUAUCACAGUUUUCAUGCCAGAUUGACUUUCACCUUAAUGCUUAGGCUUUUGAGUCACCUCAAGUUUAAUAUCAGCUUCACAAGCCCAUAGGGUAAUACUUGUUCAUCUAUAUGGCUCUUUUAUUUAUUUGGUAAGUGAAUCAUAUGACCCUCUCUCAUUGAUAAGUAAUCAGGCACCGGUAUGUUUGAGUAAAAUAAUUUAUAUAUCAAAAGAAUUAGAAAGAAGGAAUCAUAGCAUACCCCGAACACAACAUGCUUAUUGUCAAGCCAGUCACAUUUCGAGCAAGUGAUAAAGAACUGAAAUGGAAAAAAGAAAAAAGGAACAUUAAUCAAUAGAACCAAAAGUUCUCAACUCUUUGUGCGGGUAUGUGUGUGUGCGUGUGUGUGUGUGUGUGUGAGAGAGAGAGAGAGAGAGAGAGAGUUUUGUUUUGGUUGGAGACAGAGAGAGUUUGAAUUGCUGAAUUGACCUGGCACCCAUUGGUAUUUGGUCCACUAUUUGCCUGAAAAAGGAGCACACGAUUUAAUCCAUUCAGUCUCGAUAAAACAAUCCCAUAUUGGAGUGCACACACAGGACAAAAAGGAACACAUAUUGGAACACACACACACAAUACACAGAAUUCCUUCAGGACUGGGAUCCCUUGGCUGUUCACAUGGCAACAAGGGCUGUUUGAACAGCAUGUCAAUUGGUUGAUGACUUGGUAUAGAAGCCAUUUAUGGUUUAGGUUUAAGUUUUGACAAACUCCCAAAACCCAUGAGUUUAAAAACCUAAAUUAUAAGCUCUAAACGGGUGCGCUUUGGCAGACUAGCGCUGUUCUGGAAGGCCAGAUGUGUUGUUCGUAUGCUGUGUGAUCCCUCUAAACAAGGUCCCGUCAAAGAAACAACCUAUAUAAAAUGUAUUUAUAUAAUGGGGAAGGAUCCAUGACGCUAUUUUUUACACAAGUUGUGAACCAUUAGAUUGAGUGCCAUGGAUCCUACUAAUCUCAGCGAUUAGUAGUGUCUACAUCUAAUGGUUAAAAACUUGUCUCAAAACUUGCAUUAAAAAAAAAAAAAAAAAAGUACCAUGGAUCCUUCCCCUUAUAGAUAUACAUUACAAAAAAGUAACUCAUAUGGGGACACAAAUGAAAGACAAAAAGGUAUGAUAGCUUCAAAUUUAAUCUUGUAUUCUCAAUUUGAACAUGAAAAGCUAGAAUUCUAUUAAAAAGAGUGGCCUAAUUCUAUAAGCAAUCUAAAAUAAAAUCCCACAAGGAGAAGCAAAUAAUAAAAGUAAUAAAACCCUAGUAAAACAAAUUAAAGUAAACAGAACGCUUGGGCAAACACUAACAAUAGAUUAUUGGGCCAUCCCAAUUCCCAUCAAUCCCUUUGUUGUUUCCGUGUUCUAAAUGAACAACUCAGUAACCCAAAAAACGAUUGAGGUUUGGCACAAAAGCUAAGUGAGAUUACAGCUACUGCAGACAUAUAUACACAGUACAUCGUUAAAUCUCUUACACACAUCUUACAAUGUGUUUAGAAACAAGUAAUGAGUAUGAAAAUAUUCAACCCAUGAAGGAGGGGAAAAGAAAAGCAGGACAAAAACUUUUUUUUUUUGGUCAUAGACAAAAAGCCACAAAAAGGUCUGCCACACAGAAAUGUCAAAAGACUUUCACAGAUUAAUUACACCAUCCAAAACAGGUGAAACCCAAAUUAGCUCUACAACCCAGGCAUGCCUAUGCGAUUUACUUAUAUUGCUCUUUAAAAGUAAGAAGUCCUAUUUUAAAAGACUCUGACCCAAAUUCCACCUAAAAGAAAAUUCUGUUAAGACUUUAAACUACAAACUCAAUCACCCAUAAGUAAAUCAAUGCCAAUGGGGAUCUUAAAUUGAAGGACUAAUCAUCAUCAGCACUGUGAACUAGAGCCUAACAAUUUCGCAGCUUAUACCUAUGUACAAUAUAUGAGAUACAAAUGAGUGAUUGAAAAAACCCAAAUCAAAUUAGAACUUAGACUAUUGCCUCUCAAUGUACAAAUUUUUUAUUAAAGGAUUGAAUGUAAAGUUUAACUAAUUCUAAAUUCUCAACAUGAAGAAAAAAAAAAAAUUACUGCACAUGAUAAGUGUGUAAACUAAGGCAAGAUAAAAAUAAAAUAAAAAAAGGAAAAAGAACUUGGAAAGAUAUCUUCCAAAACUAUGGGGGAAACACAGUGAGAGUUAUUCAAUACUAAAUGUACAAUGAAAAAUGCAUACCAUUGACAAAAGGCCAGGACCAGUGUGUUUGGCGUCAAAAGUCUCAUCAUCGAACUGAUGUCCAUAAAUGGAAGCACAUCCACUACCAUCACCCUGCAAAGCAAGAACUUCAUUAUACGCGUCUUGUAACAAGAAGAGAAGAGAAAAGGAAAACUGUCAUAGCUGAAAUGAUCGUAAUUAACUACAAUGGUUUUUUUCCUUAAUAGGAUAAUGUUAAUUCUAGAUGAACAAUUGUUAUGGCCAGGGCAUUGCAGAACCCUCAUGAAUGGGUACAGCGUCCUUUAUAUGUAGUCUUUCCAGCCGUAACAUUUUUAGCUGGAAAUAGCAGUUUCUUUUCUUUAUCCGCAAAGUAAAUUGUUUAAUAAAGAAGAAAAAAAAAAGAUGACGACUGUAAGCAGUGUUGUGUACUGACUAGAUAUGAUCAGGGCAGAGCACAUUGAAUACAUUUACAAGAAAAAUUGUAAGUUUCCUAGCUGAUACAUAAGUUUACAUAGUCAUAUUUAGAAAAUGGCAACAAACCCAGAAUGGCAACAGUACACCUUAAACCCACAAUGGCAACAGUACGCCUUACUUUUUUCUUUCAAAGAACUGAAACCCAAAUUAUAUUUCAAAGCAUAGAUAAUAGUAGAAGAAAGAGCAAAGACCUUGAGAAAAUCACCAGCUUGAAUCAUAAAAUCCUUAAUGACCCUGUGGAACUGGCAUCCCUUGUACCCAACUGGCAAUCCAGCUUUUCUGCCAAUUCACAAAUCCAAUUUUUACAAUAUACACAAACAUAAAAGGUUCAAAAAAAAAAAAAAAAACAAUAGUACGAAAAGAAAAAAAAUAUUAGUGAAAAUGAAGCUCUACCUGUACUCGCCAGUGCAGAACUGCCUGAAACAAGUUAAAAAAGACACAAAAGAACUCAAUUAGGAAUGAAACGACGGCAAAAAGUGGAUCACAAAAGAGAGUAACAAUAAAGCAGAACGAGAGUGGCAAUGCCUGAAAUUUUCGGCGGUUUUAGGGGCAAUAUCAGCGAAAAGCUCCAUCUUGAUUCGACCAGCGGGAAUGGUACCGAUGGUAAUGUCGAAGAAGACGACUGGGUUCUUAGGGUUCGGAGGCCGCACGUGCCACUCCACUCCUCCUCCUCCUCCUCCUCCUGCGUUCCCUCCACUUGAUGCCAUUGAAUUGAUACAACAAACGCGCACACACAAAGUCACAGAGAUGAGCUGAGAGAACGCAAACACUGCUGAGUCUGAGAGAUUUUUAUUUUUAUUUUUUGAUAAAGAGUCUGAGAGAAUUAUUUCACUUCGCUGUAAGUAAGCUUAAGCUAGGUUUUAUCUUGGGUUUUAGUUUAGCAGGGAUGACUCAGAAAUCGGACGCAGCCGUUUUCAAUUCCAGUUGGGCAAGCCCAAUGGUGGGCUCUAACUAUGCUCGAAAUAUGGGGGAUGAAGGCCCAUUUAGAGCUUCAGUAGAAUCUUUUGGGUUGUAAAAAUAUCUAGCUCUCAAUGGUGAGCUCUAUACUCGGAGCUCUAUAUUCCAGGCUUUAUAUUUUUCAGACAAAAUUGUAGCAAUGAUCUCUGGACUAAGACCAAACUUUAUUUUUUCAUCUCUUAUAUUGUUAAAUUAUUACGGUGAUAUUUUAAUUAUGCGUCCACUUUUAGAAAUCGUCAUUUCUGUCAUCUCAAUCAACUUUUCCGUUAAUAAUGAUGAUGUGGCAUGGAUAAGUCCUACUUGGCAUGGGCAAAAAUGUCUUUUCACAUAAUUUUUUAAAAAAAAAUCUCCUCUCUCUCUCUAAUCCUUCAGACCUAUUCACAAAACACAAGAUCAAGAUCAAAACCACCUUUUUUUUUUUUUGAAUUCAAAGUAAUUUGAUGGAAUGGUUAUCACCUUGAGCCAAGCGUGAAGAAUGGACGACCAAUGCUGCAUUUUCUAUGACUCGGUGGAGACUAGGAACGUUUAAGACAUGCACGGCUUUGAGAGCCAUUUGCCAAAUUUGCAAACUUGCAAAAUUGCAAGCAAGCUUUGGAAUUCAAGAAAUGAGGACGCUAAGAAAAUUGGCACUUGCUCCAGGCACACAGAACCCAUCCAUCCCUGCGAUUUUCUUCUCUCUCUCUCUCUCUCUCUCUCUCUCUCUUUCUCCCGACCCCCCCCCCAAUCCACCCAGAUUUCUUCUCCACAUAACCAAUUUCUUCCUCCCCACUCCCCAUUCGGCGAUUUCUCACCUAAAUUUCUUCCUACACUUCUCUGUUUUGAUUAGAUUUGGGGUGAAGGAUGGGGGCUGGGGUUCUGGGUUCGUGGGUGCUAGGGUAGAGGGUGGUAUGGGAUAGGAUUGAGGGUUGGAGCUUGCAGGUGGUAGUCAUGAAGGAAUGGGGGAAGAAGAAAUCAUCGGGGGUGAGAGAUAUAUAUAUAUAUAUAUAUUUUUUUUAUGAAUUUGUCAAUUUGUCCUUAAUUUUGGUAAAAAAAAAUUAACUAAGUUGAUGGAAAGACCAAUGAUGCAACACGAGAGCUAAUUGAAAUAUCACCGUAACAAUUUAGCGACAUGUGGGGCUAAAAAUAAAGUUACGUCUCAGUUUAGGGACCAUUGCCACAAUUUUACCUAUAUUUUUAUGAUGUAAUUUAGUUUACGUGCUAAAUUUUUUUGUUAUGUACCUAUUUUGUGCUAAGGUAUGUUUGAGUUAUAUUAUUUUUUUUAAGAAACAUUUCAACUAAAAAAAAUAAAAAUUUGGACAAGAUUUUGAAAAUAAAAAUUUAUUUCAUAUUGAGAUGAAACAUACGGUUUUGAUCGAAUGUCAGAUAAUAAUGGAUGUAGAUGGAUGCAACUCCUCAUCUUUAUGACUUUCAUCCUAAUAAGUCCAUAUUUUACAUAUAUUUUAUGCCUCAUUUAAUUAUUUAUUUAUCGAUUUUCUUGAAUUAAAUUGUUGGAUUUAAUGUAUUUUGUGAGAAUUUUGUAGUUGAUCCCUAAUUAGAUGAAUUGGACGAAAAUAUGUCAAAUUGGACUCAAAACCUGUUGGGAUGUGUGGCAAGAAUUAAUUGGAGACAAAGAAGAUGUUUCUUAGAAGCCAAGCAACUGGUCAAAGCUUAAAGGAGGAAGUUUGGUUAAAUCCUUGUGGAAUUUGGAGAAGAAAUCAAAGAGAUAUUGGAAAACCUAUUUUUGGUAGUAUUUGAUUGUAAAUAGGGUUAGGGAUUUGUAUAUUAUAAAUAGUAGGGGUGGCAUUUUAAACCGAAAAACCGAAAAACCGCAAAAACCAACCGAUAUUUUACCGCAAUAAAACCGGUAAACCGAACCGCAAUCGCGGUAUUAAGAACCGAACCGCAUUUACAGUUGCGGUUGCGGUAUUUGAUUUUCAAAAUUUGCGGUUACCGCAAACCGCAAAGUAUAGCCGCACGGCUAUACUCUAUGAAUAAUUAAGUAAAAUUGUAAACCCUUCUCUUCUCUUGAAUUGGUGGAAAGGGAACCAAACAAGAUAUCCUAUUCUUUCACAAGUUGCCAAGGAUAUCUUUGCAAUUCCAAGUUCUACGGUUGCUAGUGAAAAUGCUUUUAGCCUAGGCAAGAGGAUUGUGGAUCCUUUUAGAAGCUCUUUGCAUCCUAAAAUGGUAGAGGCAUUAGUGUGACUAGUGAUUGGCUUAGAGCAGACGAAUUUUCCUUUUAUAAGGAACCAACAGAUGAUGAGGUUGAAUUCUACAAGGAAAUGGAAGAUAUGACAACUUGUAAGUAAUUAGUUUAUUUAUGCUAAUAUUAUUUAUGCUUCUUCUUAUAAUAAAAUGUAUUAAACUAUGUUGUUUUAUUUGUAGAUAGCAUUGGUGCUCAAACAACACAAAGGGGUUCUUCAAAUCCACUCACCACCAACACUUGAGUUUGUAACAUUGGUGUAUUGCAUUUUUCCUUUUAGUUUGUAACUUUAAUUAACUGUGAAUUGGAUUUUUCUUUUUGAUUGUAACUUUAAUUCAUUUUGCUUUUGGUUUGUAAAUUUAAAGGAUUUGGAAUUGGAAUGCUUGAGAAGUUUAACUUUAAUUGGAAUGUUUGGAAUUGUAACUUUAAUUUUCUUAGGUUGUGAAUGCUUGAGAAUUGGAAUCGAUUGUGAAUUUAUAUAUGCUUGAGAAAUUGAGGUUGUGUAUUUAUUUAUUUAGGUUGUAAAUUUAUAUUUUUGUGAAUGCUUGAGAAUUUGCAGUUUUAAACCGCAAAUUCGAGGUAACCGACCGCAUUUUUGCGGUUUACCGCAAUGCGGUAAACCGCAAAACGCGGUCGGUUUGUGGUUUCAAAAAUCACCAAACCGCAAAUAGUCGGUCGGUUUGCGGUUUGAGUAAAAAUUCGCAGUUACCGAACCGCAACCACCCCUAAUAAAUAGCAUAGUGCUAGCCUCGUAGAGAGUAUCCAUACUUUUCACUACCCGAAAAUACCCAAUUCUUGGGAUGAGAAGUCAUGAUGCCGCUGGUAUGAUUCUCCAAUUGCACUUCAAUGGCUACAUUUCAAAGGGGCUGCUUUCCAUAUGUAUUUUUUUUCAAACCUAAAGGCUAGACAUCAACGGAUGAUAAUAAAAUUAGGCUGGAUAAACGGGAAAAAAAUAAUUCAACUACUAAAAUUUAAAUCCAAAGGUAAAAAUAAGUAAAUAUAUUAUUCUAAGUUGGUUGCAACCUCAGAACAUAUCCUAAACUCUAUAAAUACCCAUCAAUUUGUUAAUAAAAUUAUGUUUGUGAAAUUUCAAAAUUUUUACGUCAAACUGUUCAAAAAAAUAAAUCACGGAUUUAAUGCAAAAAUUAACUUAAAAAAAAAGGAUUAUAUCAUUCUUUAACAAUUUAAUGAAGUUGUGGACUCAAAUUAUGAGUUUGCAAGGUUGGAGAAAAAAACAGUUUGAGUCUUGAAAGUACAUAAAUAGUUGUAUUUUUUAUGGUGAAAUUUGGUGUUUUGAGUCCUCUAGGGUUGGAGAUGACCUAAUAAUUUUAUCAUCUAAUCAAGUCAUUGUGCUUCAAGUGAAGAACUGGCUCAUAUUAGUCUUUUUUAAUGCCCUUGUAUGAUUUAAAAACUUCAAUAUUCUACUUUUAUAUGCAAGUUCGAAGAGGUUCCCUAUAUAUAUAUAUAUAUAUAUAUAUAUAUAUAUAUAUUUUGUUAUCAAAAUUAAUUUUAAUAAACUCAUCCAUAGCUUAGGGUUGGGGGAGAUGGUGAUCUUCGGGGCUCUUCUUGCCUGAUAAUGGAGAUCCUUGCCAUUAGACAAGCUCCGAGUGCGUAUGUCCAACUUCAACUCACAGAUGCGAUGGUUGAAUCUAAUGCCCAAAGAGGUAUCUCGAUACUCAACGGACAGAUUGCGGUGGAUGCUGACCUUGAAGGGAUUGUCUUCAACAUACAGCUGCUGGUGUCUCAAUUUACACGAAUGACUUUUGUGUUUGCACCUUGACGUUGUAAUCGAGCUGCACAUGCGAUAGUUUGUUUCGUUUCUAGACAGGGAGUUCUCAUGUGUUAGAACUGAAUGGCUCUUUAAUAUUCUUGCAGCCAAUGUUAACCUUUCUAUUCAUUUCUAAUAAAAUCUUCCAGCGACUUUGACAUUAUAUAUUAAAAUAAAAUAAUAAUAUUAAAAUAAAAUAAAACAGCUUUGGUUUUCCAUUUUUGUAGUGAAAAACGAAAAAAAAAUCCAUACAAAAAUGUUACCCACUUCAUAUUUCUAGCAUUCUCUGGACCGCUUUGAAUUUCAAAUAUUUCUGAAACACUGCAAUAUAUCAAUUCCCCAAUUAAUCCAAUUUAUUAAGUUUCAACAAUAUAAUUAAUCUACUUAUAACAUAAUAAUUAAAGAGAACCAUGAAACUCAAUCAAGAUUGACUUGAAGAAAAUCUUAAAACUGUAUCUGGUGCAGGAGAAAGCAAGAGACAGAAAGGGAGGCAGAGAAGGGCACAAGCAAAAUGGGUACAUUAAAAAGAAUGGAUAAACAUAAAUACAACAUUCGAUUGCCUUUCACUUGAAAUAACUGAAAUGACACACAUAAACAUCACAUUCUAGCUGAAUACAAAUUUUACUGCUUUACAUUUCCAGAGGACUUGUGAAUAGCUAAGGUAAUCCCUAAGCUGUAGACUUUGGUAUCUUGUACUGCUUCUUAAGGAAAAGAGAGGCCUCCGAAUCAGCUCUGUGACAUAGGAUUCUCACAAGAGUCUUAGAAUCAGCCCCUAGUUUGCUUCUACAACCCUGCACGCCCAGGCCACUGGAAGACUUCAAGUCCUCGAUCAGUUCUCGAGUCUGAGAACAGAAAAAAGUAGAAAGAAAAAGUACCAUAAAUUUAAGUCGACAAGAUCGUUGACAUUAACACAAUCAAACAUUGAAUUCUGCAAGCUCAAAAUUUAAGCAGUCAGAAACUUUGCUAUCUUUUACCUUGGUGUAUUGUGUGCUUAUGUGUGCAUGUGCACGUGUGUGAGCCACAGUAAUAAGAUGGAAACCAUCUUAUUAGCUCCUUCAUCUGGGUUGGAGUAUUUGCAUACAUUGUAUUAUCCUUUUUCUGUUGAAUCAAUAAGAAUAUUGUUCGUGUUUGGGUAUAGGGUAAAAUAAGAUGGCUCUCUCUCUCUCUCUCUCUCUCUCUCUCUCUCUCUCUCUCUCUCUCUCUCUCUCUCUCUCAACAAACUAACUUGUUGAAAUCACAGCAAGAGGAAUGCCAAAAAUAAAUAAAAAAGAAUCAGAACAUGACGACUGUCCAGAUGUACAUUUUGCAUUUUAAUGAAACUCUCAUUGAUAGUGAAAUACGAUAAUGCCUUAAAUAACCUGAUUCACUUGUAAAGUCUCAACCAGAGAAAAAGAUGGACUAACCUCAUAGCUGUGCAACUUUAUUACAUCUCGAACACGUGCUACCUGAUUUUCGACAACUCCUCUUGGAAGCCCAUCUCCUCCAGAGAUAAAAAACUCCUGUUAAUCACAACCACAAUGACACAAAGUAAGUGCAAGUUUGGUUUACAAAUUCGAAACUCCACGAAAUGCUGUGUCAUACGAAGUAGACAAUUCUUCUUGUGAAGCAAUUUAAAUGAACAAAUUCACCCGUUUAUGUCUUCUUUUGCCAGAUUAAGUUCAACCAACUUCCAAAUGCCUACUUGUAAGUACAUUCCUUCUUUCCAACGCUAAGGGCCCUUUUGAUAACCAUUUUAAUUUUAGUUUUUAGUUUUCAUUUUUCAUUUUUCAUUUUUUGUGCUAGAGAAUAGAGGAAAAAGAGGAAUGGAAGUGAGAAUGAGAGGGGAGGAUGGGAGGGAGGAGUUAUAAAUGUGAAAACAAGAACUAAAAACUGAAAUCUAUUUGAAAUUGUUUUCACUUUCAAGUUUUUGUUUUCACUUUUGUUACUCCUCCCUCCCAUCCUCCCCUCUCAUCUCAUUCUCACUCUCGUUUUCCUUUAUACUCUAGCACAAAAAAUGAAAACAAAAAACUAAAAUUGAAAUGGUUAUCAAAUGGGCCCUAAAUGGAACAAGUGUAAAUUUGUGGGAAAAGAUGAUAUGCAACUUUGUUGGAUUACCUAUCUGGAUUCAAAACAAAUUCUCUCUUUUUGCUCAGAUAUAAAAAUAAUUAUUGGCCUAUAUUUUAACAGUCAACUUUAAAGUAUGGUGAUAAACCCGGAAAAAAAAGAAAAAAAAAAAGAAAAGAGAAAAGAUUCCAUGGUAUCAAAGAAGCAAACCCAAGUACAAAUCCCAAUAAUGACAACCACCAAAUAUAGGUACUCUCAUAUGUUGGAGUCCUCUAAUGGUGAGGUGAUGUCCACAUGUGAGGAGUGUUAGGAGCUAAAAUAACUGUUCACCCACAUGUGAGGAGUAUACACCAACAAAAAUUGACCACUUGCAAUAUUCAAAGGGCACAAAGCAGGUACCUUGAGGACCUCCAAAUCUUCUUCUAAUAGCUUUGCAUCGCCCAAAGAGAAAAUUCGUGAUGGGCCUCCAUCUAAUACAACACGGAGUAAACCAUCCUGGAUAAAAAAUAAAAUAAAAUAAAAUUCCAGUGAAAUAAAAAUUACAGUAAAUUUGACAGAUAUGUGGAAAGAAGCAAAGGGCGAGGAAUAGACCAGCGUUGCUUGAAGGAGACUUGUCACGAUGCGAUCCCUUAGUGGUUCCACAAUUAUAGCACACAGUUGACUAAGUUCCUGCAGUAGUUCAUAAUGACAGGCAGCCCUUUGUCUUCAAUAUCAAUACAAUUUUAAGAAACAAAUACAAAUUAAAAAAUGACAUGGAUACAUGGAAAUUAAUAACUGAAGAAGAAACACGUAAUAGGUGGAUAGAGAAAUCAGACAGAACACUCCAUUUGUCGUUCUUCUGAAACAUAAACAAUAUGUCUAAACAAGUGCUAAAAAUUAUUCAACUCUACCAAGAUGAAUAGAGGUAAGUCAAAAUUGACCGUACGUAGCAUCCAAUUUUGAUGCCUUUUGAGCAUGAAUCCAACAUAAAAGUCAUAUCAGGUUGAUGUGCCAGAUCCUAACUACCAACUACCAUCUGAACCUAUUAGUCAAGUUGAUGUAUCUUUCUACUUCAUGAGAUGUAACUCAAACUCCCAGGACCCUUGUUUAAUGGCUAAACUUGUGCUAGCACUAUCCACAUGACAACACAAUUAGGAGUGAAAGUAUACGCAACUUAAAAGGUUGAUCAAGAAGAGGUACAAUUCAUAACAUGUAGAAUACAGAUUAUAUGCAACGUGAGGGCAAUAAAUAUAGAAUAAUUUGGUUUCUUUCUAUUGUGCAAGGAAAUAGAGGCUAAAGGCAGAUGAGAUAUUGACAGAUCAGUCAUUUUCGAGCUUAAGCAGCUUUAACUACCACCAAAAAUAGAAUGUAGCUUCCAAAUGGAAUAAAUCUGACCGUAUCAAGUGGUUCAUAGACUGCUUCGAACCUAGAAAGAGAAACACUUGGUUUAUAUAAGUUGUUAAUAAAUGGUUCCCUCAAGUCCCAGAAGAUAAUCUUAGUUCCUGCAAUAAACAGUUGGUAAAUUAAUAAAUGGUCUAGUAUGUCAAGGAAUUUGACAUCAUCUAAAAACACAAAUCUUGUACCAGUGAACUCGCAAAUUUGAUCUAUAGCAGCAUUUAUAUCUUUUCUACUCCCAUCAAACGUGUCCUUCUGGGUGAAACUUUUUGACUUCUCAUCUAAGGAUUUCUCUACAAACAAAAGGUCAAUAUAAGCACUGAAAAGAUUGCAAACAAAUGAUGUUAAUAUGCGUUCCUCAACCUAAAUUCCUGUAAAUGGAAAGAUUGCAAACAAAUAUAAAGUUAGAAAACCACUUUUCUGCACUUACUGGUAAACUUUUGGCUGGGCUUCUUCCUCGUCCAUCGCUCCCACAUGCUAUCUUCCAACUUAUUCAGCUGACUGAUUGCAUACUGUGAAUAGCACAAAAGUAUACCAGAUUUUUCACUAAUCUUAUUGGCCAAUCAAAUUCCUAUUAGAAAAAAGUACAUGGCAACCAAACAAAUUUAUAUCUAAAAGAUAUGGUGAAAAGAAACCGGAGGACCAUCAAAUGUAGAUGCAACUAAAGAUCUUUAGCAAAUAAUUAUAACAGUGUCAUCAUUUUCUUAUGAAACUUAGGUCUCAUUAAUAUCCAUAUUUUCACUUUCUUAUGAUUCUUAUAAAAGAAUCACGUGCAUAUAACCCAUCAUUUUCUCACCCAGGACACGUACAAUACCGGAACAAAAACAUUAUAAGAUCACAAGCACCUAGAAGAACUCAUCCGGCCAAUUCAAAUUAGGAGUACCAAGGCUUAGUUGAGUUUAGCAUUAAAACAUCAUUAUGAAAAUAUUUCCUCCCUUCAUAAUGAAAACAAGAAGCUGAACCUGAACUUACAUAAAGUGUAUUUAACUGAACACAAAGCGUUGGAGUCGUUCGAACACUAAUUUCAGUAGACCUUCUCUCAUCAGGCAGCCUAGGGUCAAAUAGUUCCUUCUUUACAAAAGCCUUUAUUCCAACUUCCUUCUUGUAUCUUGUAAGAAUGGGCACAGGUGGAAUUAAAUCUUCCUUGGUAGCUGCAUGACCAAAAUCCCAAUGUAAGGUCUGUGUGGAUACAAUAAGGGUAGAUAACAAGGAAAAAAAAAAAAAAAAGGUUAAAAUCAUUUGUAUGGCAUGUAGAGAAGAAUGAAAAAUCUUGUUAGCUUGAUAUACAUUGUUUAACAUUAUGGGGUAUUGGUAAGCUAACUUGGUAGCAAGGCCUUGGUUGUAGGAGAUCCUGGGUUGAAACCUCAAAACCACAUUUCUCAAUUCUUUGUUGGUUUGCAAGGUGUAGGUUGGGGCAGCACCUAUUGGCAUGCAUUUCUCUCUCACCACGUGCAGGAUGGGGCUGCACGUGAAGGAGGGUUCAGUUUGAUAUACAGUGUUGACCCAUUCCUUCACAGCUUAAGCUUUUGGGGUCCAAGGGAAAUCUAACAAAUCUAACAAUGUAAUAAGAAAACAAAUAAAGAAACAAUUUUGUUUUCUUUUUGGGCACAAAAUAAGUAUUCAUCAUUCAUGAACCUAUUUAUAACUAGAAGUUCCUGAGUUCAAAGAAAUAAAAGCAGAAAAGAACAUUUACGCAAAUAAGUGCUACACUAAUAUCCAUCAAUAAAAUUAUGUAAAGGUCAGUUCUCUAGAAGGCCAUAUAAACAACUGUUGCCCAAGGAAUACGUACGAGAGUAGGGUAAAGGAAACAUAACUUGUGAUCAUAUAAUUUUAAAUGACCCUCACGAAGUUUUCCACAAUUGUGAUAACACAUGUAUGUCAUGUCAGUCAAUUCAGAAUUGUACAACUCACAAGUAGCACAUACCCAACUUGUCAAUGACAUGAUUUGCGAACACUUGAAAAGCAUUGUCAACUCCGCGAAACAAACCACUCAAUUCUGUAGGCCUCAUUGGAACCUUGAGAUCAAAAAAUUGGUCGACAGUCUGCAUGAAGAAAUGUUUAUAAGGAAACACAUCAGCAACGUUGGUCAGUGGCAAGAGCAAAUAAUAGAUUUGAAGGCCAAACCAUACAAGUAUAUCCAGAAUUGUAAGAUUCCAAAUGAAACCACUGACAAAUUCUAGAAUUGAAGUACAGAUACUUGACGAUGCAUUUAAUAGUCCACUUCCUUUAAAACCAACCUCCAAUAAAAGUUCCACAUUAUAUCCAAUUCAAUUUAUUUUUCAUUUCAUAAAGACAUCCUUUCUUGAUGAAUAACACAAUUAUUUGACUGCUAUUGAUUGUACUAUAGAUGAGGACUCCUUGUCCAUUGCAUGCACUUUUUGAGUUUUUAUUUUUAAAAAAGUACAUUUCGGUUAAAAAAAUAACACAAUCAUUUGAAACCCAGAAAUGAAAGCAUUUCAAAGAUAGCAAUGGCAACGAUACAAUUAUUUGAGAAGAUGCAGACUUUUGGAAACAUAUAACAAACUUAUUUAUCACCAAUUAUAAGUGUGUGACCCAUAUUGUCAAUUAUGUGUGCAUUUCUAUUAUGAAUACUGAUCACUGUUUUUUUUCAUUAUGAAAGAUAUCCAAAAACUACUUUAUAGCUUAUACAAUACCAUAUGCAAAACCCAAAAAGAACAAACAGUCAUACCUCCUCCACAAUCCUAAAAACUUCAACUAUUGAACUCCCAUGCCGCUGUUGAGGUGAUAUUGGGUCCCACCUCUGUAACAUGAUGCACACGAACAUUCAGCAACUUACGAGAUGAAAAAAGAAGCCACAUAUAUUGUUACAAAAAAUGAAGAUGAGAAAAGUUUCCAUAAAUUAUAACAAAAACUAACCUACAUGCAAAUGGUGAUAAAACGGCUUUCCCUAAAUUGUUAUGAAAAUUAAACAAAGGACAAAAUGGAACUAGAAUAAUUAUGUCUGAAGAGGCAGGACAGCCAGACGUUCCUACAAAUACCCAAUUACUGAAUCAGCCCCAUGUGUUCAAAGUAUUAACGAGUCUAUGACAACCCGAAUUACUGAAUGGCAUAAUGAGUAGCAGACUUGGCCGUUGAUAGACAAAACUUACAAUUUUACAUGAGAUCAUGGAUGAUGGAUUUGAGUAAUACAAUCAUAAGAAAUAACUGGAUGCUUCACAUAUACUACCUUCCUCUCAUUAUCCACACUGAUAGAAAGAAUAGAUAGAAGUAUUAUCUCUUUUAUAAAACCCUUCCACAGAAUAUUACACAAGUAUUACUAACAACAGUUUAGAGGCAGGGGCCUCUCCCCUAUUUUAUUUGUCACCAUGACUCCUCAAUAUAACCUACCUCAAAGCUACCAACUUCCUGGUACCCAACGCCACCACUAAUUAGGUGAGAAAACAUCAUUCCAACAAUAGUUUUAGAAGGAAGUUGAGGUUCCACCCCAAAACCAAUUGGCAAUGGCGGGAGUAACCCUACUCCUUGUAAACUCAGCUAGGUCCCUUAACUUUUCAAUGUGGGACAAACACUCUCAACACGCCCCCGCACAUGCGGUGAACUUUCAGGCCUUACACAUGAACAACACAUAUUGGGUGACAUGAAAGCACGUGUGGCCGUUGGGCUCAACACGUGAAGCCUUGCUCUAAUACCAUGAGGGGAGUUGAGGUUCCACUCGAAAACCAAUUGGCCAAGGGAAGAGUAGCCCAACUCCUUAUAAGCCCUUGCUAGGUUUCUCAACUUUCCAAUGUGGGACAAUUCACUUUCACAUUCUCACACGCCUCUACACGUGUGGCCGUUGGGCUUUCACACAUGGGCAACCCACUCUGAUACCACGAAGGAAGUUGAGGUUCCACCCCGAAACCAAUUGGCAAUGGGAGGAGUAGCCCAACUCCCUUAAUUUCAAUGUGGGACAAACACUCAACAGUUUUAAUCCAUGUGAAAACACAUAGGACACCUUCCUUCUGACUGGAUUACCAGAAGUUACCAAUCUAGAGUAUAUCAAACAAGUACAACAAUUUCUGAAGAAAGACAUAAAAUACCAGUCAAUACCAUGUUCACCCCUAAGUCUCAAACAGGUAGCAUAAAAACAAAAAUGUGCUUGCUUCCUUUCUUUUUAUUGCUUUUAUGGCUUGUGCUUUCAAGAUGAGAGCAAUAAAAAGUAAACUAACAUAAGAAAUUAAAACAUUAAAAAAAAAAGAAAAAAAAAGGAUAAACUUUAAAUUUUACCUCUUGUUGAACAGCCCGUUCAACCCAACCUAAGAUCCUUCCAAGUUGCGAAUUGACCCAACGCAUCACCAAUGUUCCAGAUAUGGAUCCAAUCUAAGAAGAUAUAAGAAGUUCAAUAAAAUGAAAAUAAGAAGCAAUGGAGCAUAUUGGUAAACAGUAAACCUGACAUAUUGUUUGCAACUAUCUAACUUUUCAGCUUUAGCUUAGCAGAACCAAGUCUUUUUCCAAUUGUGCAUAUCCAUGACUUUACACUAUUAGAAGACAAGUUUACAUUAAAACUUUUCAGCUUUAGCUUAGCGGAACCAAGUAUAUUUCAAAUUGUGCAUAUCCAUGACUUUACACUAUUAGAAGACAAGUUUACAUUAAAAAAGAAAAAGGAAAAAAAGGAGAUAUGUAAUGUAGAAAAAAAUCCAACUUUCACCUGGUAUGGAGCUAGUUUCCUACAGUAUAUAUCUGCAGUUUCCUCUCCAGAAUUGGACGUAAUAAGUUCCAUAAUGUACUGCUCAAGGUUAUCAGCUGCUGGAAAUACAGAUAUUACAUCCUCGGUCAGAUGUUCAGCCACACCGAGAAAAGGUUUCUGAAAUAACACAUUAGCAUUAAGUUCUCCACUUCCACCCUAAAAAACUACUGUAUCGUGGAAAAAAUGUAGAUAAAUGUAAUUCUCAUUAUUGAAAAAAAGGGAGGGAGCAUAUAAGCUCACCAACUUGUUGCCAUAAAGCCUAUGAAGGAGUGAGGCUGAGACAGAAGUUGCUUGUGGAUGCCUCUGGGAUAAAAUUGGCAUGAACAUGGUUGUAUCCUUUUUUAAGAGUUUCUUGGUCUCUUCAGCAAGCAAUGCCAAAGGAUGUUCAUGCUUUGAGUCUGAUUUUUCAACAGACUGUAAGAUCUGUACAACAAGAAAAUACAUUUUUAAAAUUUAAAAAUUCAAAUCCAUUAUUCAGCCGUCUUAAAUGGAAACUUUAAUCGUAUCAAUGGUAUCUGUUUAUGUAAGUGUGUGUGUGUGUGUGUGUGUGUGUGUGUGUGUGUACACGAGUUCUGUGGAGAGUGACCACUGAAUAAAUUGUGUACCGAACUCUAGUCUGAACAAUUUACCACUCGGUGUCUUCUCGAUUUUGAAGCUUGCUAGUUACUAGUAAGCCUAGCUUGACAUCACUGCACCUUUGUCUUUGACUAGGGUCCCAACACAAUAUUUAUAAGAUCAGUGUUUUAUUGACUAUUCAGGGGAAGCGUGUGUUAGAGCUGUAGAUCUUUCUCUAGUUAGUGCUUUAUUAACAUUAAUGUAUUAUUGUAUUUUACAUUCAUGCUUAAAUUCUGCAGCACAAGAGCCCAUAGAGAUCACCAAAAUCUGACCCUUCCCCAAAGAUGAUGAUAAACAAUUAGGGACAAAGUUUCUGGUCAACUACUACAACUUUAUGUACAUGAUAGAGCCUAAAAAUAAUUCCUAUACAGCCAAGUUUUGAUCAAUUUUGUUAGUUACCUACUACUUUCAAAAGUUUAACAUGUUAGAAUGCGGGCUUGAAUUUCCUCAUGACUGUGGUCUAACAUAUACACAACACUGUACUCCUGUUCUAAUACCAUGACAAAUAUUUUUGGUCUACUAAUGUUCCAAAAGCUUAAGUAUGGGCCAAGUAUUGUAUUUUUCCUAACACCUCCCUUCCCAGAGGAGAAGUCCAUUGCCUAAUUUUCCUAUAUUAAAUUUUGCUUAAUUGAAAUAGUAAGACUCACUAAUAUAUUGUGUGUCAAAAAUCUUAUAAAAAAAUCACUGAAACACUUACCCUUGUAAAUGCAUUCUUAAUAGAAGAUAAUAUGUAUGAUUCUAUCUGAUCUCGAUCUGUGUUGGAUGUAUAUUGCAUCAUUGCCUGUGGAACAAAUAAAAGAAAUCAUCUUUAAACCUUUUACAAUUUGACAACACAUUCAAAUAUUUGUUAUUUAAAAAAAAAUCCAGAUACUGGAGUUGGCAAAAAAUAAGGGUUCGUCACAAGAAAGAAUAACUUAGAAAAGUUGGAAAGUUAUACUAGUUGUUUUCCACAAGUCAAGAACCAUGCUUGGCUCCUCACCGCUGAGAUGUCGCCAAUUCAUACCAAUGAAUUGGUGAAAGUGGUGAGUCCCCCCAUUCACCUGACACCUUAGCAGUGAGAAGAAAAGUUUUUCCUCACUGAUGAAGAACCAUGCAUUAUUCUCUAAUAUUAGUCAAGCACAAAGUUUCUUUUGAGUCUACACAUACUGCUUCAGGUUCCUCCAAUAGAAGCCUUUGAGCAAUCAUUGCAACAGCUACUAUAUUCUCCAUCAUAACUGGCACCUACAAGGUACAUGAGAAGUUUAAGACAACUGAGUUGCAACCAGGAAGGUCCCUUGGUAAAAGUGACUAAAAUUGGCAUAAUUUUUUAAUUAGCUGAAUCAGCUGGAGCCCAGAGUGGUGUCAUGAAGAUGCAACAUUAACAAGUACGAGAAGUGAAAAAAGCUGCAUAGCAUCAAUACACAAGGAUAUAAUAAAACAGAAAGAUCAUGCAAGCAAAUGGGCACAAGACCUAUGAUAGUUAUUUCCAUGGUAGUAUAAAAACAAACAUAUACAAAUUAAAAAUAAUUGCUUAACAAAGCUAACAUCAGCCUGACAAUAAACCAAAUUAAGAAUGAGGACCACACCCAAGUAUAGCACUUCUAGGACCUUAGCAUACCUCAGAAAAGUGCAGAUGGUAGUCUCCUAACUGCUUAUCGGCCCAUUUCUGAAUGGGCAACAAGAAGGACUGUAAGAAAGAUAAAUCUUGGUGACCCUGAUCGCCUUCAACUCUACAAUGCAAACUCUUCAAGUGUAACCUCUCUUGUGGUCCCCGUUGUUCCUUCAAUGGUAUUUUCUUUAACUGUUCAAUGGCAUGUUUUAAAACUCCUUGCUCACUUGUAAUAACAUGCUGUGAUCACAGAAUCAAUACAAACUGUAAAUGGCGAUGAUACUUAUCAGUAGAAAAAGUUUACUAAUGGAACUGCCAAGAUCAGACAUUCAUGAGAAAAGACAAAAAUAAAACAAAAGAACUAGAAAGAACUAAUCUAGCUGAAAAGAAACUCAAAGAAUUGAACAAAUACAGCAAUUGUUGUAGAAUGGACCAACUCAAAUAAAAUGAGACAGUACAUAAUUGACAUGAUAUCAUGCUGACAAGGAGCCACUCAUGAAAGACAUUCCACUAUCAGUAUCUUUAUACUUGAAACCUCCUAAAAAUAUGCAUGUACGAAUUUUUAUCACUGUAGAGUGUGUGUGUGUGUGUGUGUGUGUGUACAUGUGGCGGGCUUCAAUUUCCAGAGAAAAGAUUUGCCAGUUGAAAAGUAUAAGAUGAAACGUCAAGUUGUUCAAAACCAAAGUCAAUUGAACCAAGCUUUUGAAUACAUCUACCACAUGUUAGAAUCUAUUAUUAGUGUCAUUCAAUGCAACUUCAAUUAUCCAAGAUGCUCUACAUAGAAAUUUUUAAAAUGUUGGAAAAACAUUGAUGUUUCCAAAGAUAUGGAAUGCCUUCAAUAAGAAUGAGAGGUUCAUGGGAUGGGAGAGGAGUACCUCCGAUUGUAUAACUUAUAGGCCUAUAGGCCUCAGACAAAAACAAAAUUAGAAACAACAUCGUACAAAACUCUGGGUUUGUACGUGCGUGCGUGCGUGAGAGAGAGAGAGAGAGAGAGAGAGAGAGAGAGAGAGAGAGAGAGUCCUUUAUGUCUGUUAAGUCCAUAUCUUCCAGUAAUUAUAUGAAAAACAAAUAUCUUUCUUAGAGUACAUAUUAUAAAUGUAACAAUAUAAGACACAAGUCAACCAUACUCUCCAUCACAUAUAAACAAUGACAUUAUAGUUUUCCCAGAAAAGAACAAAAACAUCACUUUAGUGGCUGCAGAACAAUAUGAAAAGUAAAUUACUUUUAUGCCUAUUUUACCUGACGGAAUAAGACCCAUGCAUAGCAGGUGUAAUGCAUGGUCUCCGUGAUUCCUAAAACACGCCACGUUGACUUCACAAGCUCGAGUAUUUCUUCCACUUCCUGAAAAUAAAGAUAAUCUAGAGACUCUGAGAGACAAAGAAAAAAAGCCCAGCUGCUGCUUUCUUUGUAAAUUCAUAUUUGACAACUUGGGGUAUCUACAGCUGGAGCCCGCAUGCAACAAUAGACAACAGUGACUGUUAACGGUUUUGAUGUUUGUGCCCUAAAGAUUCUCAGGUUAAAUCAGUUUUUGACUUCAGCCUUUAAUUAAGAACUGAGUUAUAAACUUUUUUGCCUCACAGGGGUACCUAUGCAGAAAUUUGUAUGUAUUAUUUACCAAUCGUGUUGAGUUCAGGACUUCCUAGGAGCCCUGGGUAUGAAAUAAGUCCGUGUGUUUGAGACGUAGUUCUUUUUCUAACUGGAUACUCUCAUUAUUAUUAGUUUGGCUUAAGAGUAAAUCAGUUGUCGAUAAAAUUUAAUUAUUUUGUGUUUCAGGCAUCUCUCUCUCUAUCUCUCUCUCUCUCUCUCUCGUAUUGUUUAACUUGGUACAACAACCCCUGACUUCUCUCUGUUCUUAUCUCUUCAAGACCUUAAUUCUCUCUCUAUCCCCACAUUCCACAAUAUUUGCCCCCAAAUAAGCAAUCAUAAAAUGAGCAUUCUUCUUAGAUUUCAAUCAAUUUCAGCUAUCAAGAUUCAACCUUUUCACCAGUAAUUUACAACCCCUAAAGCUUUCUUCCUACAUUUCCAAGCCUUAAACCCAUAAUUCUUUCAACCCUAGCGCCCACCACAUAAAACCAAGGUUAAGUUUCCUAAACUACCAUACAUCACUAUGAAGUAAAGCAAAACUACAUUUCAUUUUACAGAAAAAAUUCUGAAAUCUGAGAGCUUUUAAAACAGAAUGGAGAUCCUAACUCCAGAAAACUUUUAAAACCCAACCAAUCAAGCAGAAAGUGACUUGGCAAUGUAAAUGAAUGCAGUUCUUUAGUAGAUUUUGACAGAGCCGUGUUGUCAUGGCCAAGAACCAAAAGUACUAACCUCAGUCAACUUUCCCUCAUCUAACAUAUCAAAGACACUGAGAAGCAGUUUCUCAUACAGUCUAACGUUCAAGUGAUAACCAUCUGCCCAGUGACAUACUUCACCAGUUAAGUCACCACGAGCAGGCCUCUCAGCAAGUGGAGUGGCAAUCUCUCGAAGAGAUCUUAAGCAUUCUGUUCGUUGGAGUUCACCCGUGGAAGGUGGAAGAAACUACAAUCAAAAGAGAAAGGAAAGGGGGCGAAAUGAAAAACAAAACAAAACAAAUAUAAUUAUACCAAAAGCAACAUGCAAAAAAUUGAGAUGGAACCAUGCCGGAAAUGUAGACCAUAUUAAAUAGUACAAAUUUUUUUGAAACCACCAAGUUAUAAAAUAAAUCAUUAUUAUCAAAAAUUAUGGGCCAGAGUUCACAUGGUGGUAAAACAGGAAAUGGGUGCUAAUUUGUUAGUUUACAACAAAAGAACACCUAACGCCCAACUAUAUGCCACAUGAGCCAUAGUUGACGUCGUAAAACAGUGAGUGGGACUGGGUAGCUUUUAGGUCAUUUUCUUCAUUUUCUUUUUUUCUUGUUUACCAAAAACACAGAGAGAGAGAGAGAGAGAGAGAGAGAGAGAGAGAGAGAGAGAGAGAGAGAGAGAGAAGAAAAGUUUAACACCCAAACAAGAUCAGUAGAAUUCUUUUUAACAAGAUAUAAAAAUACAAGAGAAAUGCACAAAAACUCCAUCAUAUUCCACAUUCACCCUCAAAGAAAAACAAAAGUUACACUAAUGUUUAACACCCAACUACCCCUAUUUCUGGUGUUUCCAAAGCAAAUAAAAGGUUUAAGACCCAAAUAUUUCCAUUAUAAUCUUAUAAUUAUAUAAAGUAGAACAAAUGGUUUUCGAGUGUUAGUUAAGAGAAUAAAUGAUUGGGUAAGGGAAAUUUUAAUUGUCUAUUAUUGUGAUAGAGAGCAUUCCAGCCAUUUAGACGAACAGAAGACAUACCUCAGAUUCUUCAAUUUUUGCUAAAAGAAUCCUAAACUCACUCGCCUUCCGUCCAGACUCCCCAAAUCCAACAGCUGGGAAAUUAAGAAGCCCUUCCUCCAACAUAUUCAACUGUGAAAACAAAUCAGAAUUUCUUAAUUUGGAUCUCAUGUGCAUAUAUGGUCACCCCUCCAAUUUCACCAAAUAGGAAAUUUACAAGGCCAAUAAAACGUAUCAAGACAAAAUGAUAGAUUGUAAGGAACAGAACUUACCUGCCUUUUCUGCCACCGUAUAUACGCCUUCUUGUCAGAAAAUUCUGUUCGUGAAAUACAACAGAGAAGUUCCAGAGGAACCAGUAGGGCAUCCAUUCUUUUUCCCACUUUUCCAGCUAGGGCAUUAAGCAGCCCUUGUCUAGUUCUGAUGUCCAUGGCCUCAGAUAUCUGCAUUUACGAGUAUGGGAAAAGAAAUCAUUAAAUCAAUAUGAAUCCAACGAAACACAGUUCACCGAAACUGCAUAAAAAAUCAUAUUUGAAGACAGCAAUGAUUUCAGAACCCCUCUGGCUGAUGCCACGUCAAUUACAAACCAAUAAUGAGGUACAGAAAGGGUCACAAUAAGAUGAAUACAUUCAGUGGGGACCCGAACAAGGAAAGAAACAACUGACCCACUUAUAAAACUUUACCGUGCAUAGCAGCUUGAAGUGACAGCUAGUAAUGCAUACAAAAUAAACAUAUGCAUGUACCAAAUCUUGUAUUGCUGGGCUACAAUAAAGAAAAAUUAUGCAACAGUACAUGACUCGGAACUAGCACAACCAGAUGAUUGUUUACAAUAUGGUCCAUUCUCCAGUGAACUAAUAAGCUUAUACAUGACGCUCAGUCUUUUAGUCUUAGUAAUUAACCAUCCGGUUUCAAAAGAAAAACAUGCCAUGCAGUCCUCCUUUGUGCUCGCAUAGUUCUUAAGUAUUCUACCAUAUGGGCUCAUUUAGUAUGCUGGACUGAACCUCUACUAUUUCAAUUUGAUUGUAAUGUACUUCUUUCUAUUGUAUUAACCUUACUACUAGCAUGGGUUUGGUACUGUCAGGACUAAGACGCCGGAUAAUCUGUAUGGUGUUAUGUAUUGUACUGUAUAAGGGAACCAACAGAACUAAACAAUGAUUAAAUAAUUUCUAAAAAUAAUCUUAUUUAGGAAGCUUAAAAAUGCCGUCAUAUUUGUAACUAUCAUUUAUAAAUAUCAUUCAUCUCCAAUGCUUAUCAAACACUGCUUAUUUGAAAGUUUUACAAACUACUCCUCAAGAUCAAUACACCCAUUCGGGAUGAUGGAGGAGUUCCAACCCCUCUGUCUUCCAUUUUUAAUAACACAAAUUAAUUGAACAUUAAUGGCAUGUUACUUUAAGUCAUAAAUCAGGGAAGUCGAGAAUAGGGGAGAGAAGGAAUGGGUAUGGGAUUAACUAUUCCCCCCUAAUCAAUCUAAUUCAUGGUUUUUCAAUUAUUGGAUUGUAAAUUUUAAUGUAAAACUCACAUAAAUUUUGAUUUCUCAUGUGUUAGUAAACCCAGGGGAAGUCUGGAAUCGGAAUAAUUAGAACACCAUUCCAGGUAAGUAAGCAUGCCAUAAAAGGAGAGGAAAAGGGAGAAGAAAUAGAGUAGUAAUGCCUCCAUUUGAAUAGCAAAUGACUACUAAAUACCUCCAUCUGGACACGCAUGGUCUCCAACAAACCAACCAAUCCAGGUGCUCGUUGAGACUGACUCAAAGGAUUUUCAUUUCUACUACGUCCAAGUUUCCUCAUCAGCUUGGACCUUUUGUCUUUCUUUUUCUCUUUUGACGGCACAAUCAGACCCCUGUUCAGACAGAGAGAGUGUAAGCAUGGAUGGUGUCAUGUCAGAACUAAACUAAGUACACAAAUAGACCUGCAAUCACAACAGCAUUUCCUUGAUUUACAAGAAAACAAAAAAUAUUUGCAGACCCAAUAAGAAAAUGAAAGUAUACCCUGCAGCACCAGCACAUGCUAAAAGGACUUCAUAUGCAGUUUCACGGAGAUCAUCUUCUGUGAUACCUAAACAAGAAAAGGAGGAAAAAAAAUUAUGACAACCACCCUGUGCUUUUUAGUGUCAACUUUCAUCAAUCAUCCUAGGGGCUGGGAAUGCAGUCUUAUAUACUGAUUGCCAAAUGUGUGGAAAAAGCAGACAGAUGCAUCGGUAUAGGAUACCAGUAGGUUACUCUAUACCUCUUUAAUACUUCCUAAUGUGCCAAAUAUUUUAAAAAAAAUGCAUCCAAACAUAAAUAAUAAUUAAAAAUAAAAUCAUGGUCUCGAAUUGGGCAGCUGUUAUAGACUGAAACAUAGCAAAGGGUCAUAUGAGAUAUGUUUUACUCUUUGAGUUAUACAUAAAUUAAGAAUGCUUGUAUGAUGAAUCUACCACACCAUAUGAGUGUAACAAUCUCGGAGAACUUUGAAAAAAAUGUAUGUAAAUAUAUAUACAUUGAUCUACAUGUAUGCGCAUUUAACAUUGUGGCAAUAUUGCAGUCUACUCUUUCCAGAAUAUUUACAUUUCAAUGUAUCCAACAUCCAUAUCCAACCUUCCUUGUGCAAAAGAAACAGACCAUUAAUAUCAAUAUUCAUCAUGAAAAUCUCCAAAACCCAAAAAUAUCUUCAAAUCCAUUAUUCCAUUAAUAUCAUCAGAACCUUACGCAAGAUGUGGUUAAUGAUACAGAAUUUAAAGUGUAAGCUCGGUAGAGGAUAGGGUGUCUAUCUAGAGGUGGGACCAUUGCCCUAACUAUGUUGGUCUUUAAGCAGUAUUCCUUUUUCAUGUCUCUCUUUCGAAUGUCAAGUAGAGUAGCUAAGGUUUUAGAAAAAAAUGAUGUGGGAAAUCCUAUUGAUGCAUAGCUCUGUUUUGCAUUGGUUGUCAAAUCGUCGUCGAGUAGUCUAGCUAGCAACUACCAGCUAGACCACUGGACAACUUGUCCCCUGUUUUGUACUUUUUUCAUUUUAACGAAACUGUGUUUCUUAUCACAAUAUUUAUAUAAAAAAUAGUAUAAUGUAUAUCAUAACCAGUUAGUUUAGAAUUGAAAAGUCAACCAAUGACCAUAAAUUCAAAUCUUACUGUACUACCUGAAUCUGGCACUUCUACUGAAUACAUAGUGUAGUUUUUCAUGGUUAAGUAUAAUGUAGUUUGACUAGAUUUAUAUGGUACACAUAUACGCUGGUAUUGGUUAAGAUAGUAGGAAUGAUGAUAUCAAAGUACACAACUUUUUAUUUGAGAGCUAACUCUCUCUAGAUUUUUUUUUUUUUUCUUUCCUUUCUUGUUCGAUAAGUUGAGGCCAAAAUUUAAUGUAUCCGCACCUACCUCUUUAUCACAUGAGCCCACACCCAAGGGCCAUCAUGUGGGAAGUGUAGGUCAUUAAUUAGACUAGUUUCAUGCAGGGGAAAUUUUACAUAAUUUAGUUUUGAUACAAUUUCAAUGGCUUUAAAAUCUAUUACCUGUCUUAAAAGAAGGCAAUCCAAGCGAAAGAUCAGUAGCAUCGUUUCGAAUCCUUCGUGAAAUCCGGAGACUGUCAGCCUCAUCGAUAUCAUCAUCCUCAAAAUCUUCAAUAUCAUCUACAGUCAGUUCUUGAGCUUGUGUGUAGUUAAAAGAUUCUGACUUUGACACACUUGAUGCAACCGGAGAUGAGUCAAGGUCAGGAAUAGAUGAUAAGACACCAGGAGGUGGAGUUAGAACAGGAGGUGGCACGAAGUCCGGAACAGGUGGUGGUGCCCGUUUUGGAGGAGAACCGGAAAACUCAGGAUUCGUAACCAAAAAGAAUUCACCAGCAGAACCUGUACUAUUCUGGUAAAGUGGAAAAAUGAACAGAAUGGAUAUAAUUUAAGCAAACAAAUUAACAGGAACAAGAGGAAAUGGACCAAAUUACAAAAUAAAAAACAAAACAAAAAGAAAUCAACCAAAACCCAGAAAAGAUGAGCAUAAAUAAUGACCACAGGAGCUGCAGAAGGAAAGACUAUUAAUUGGGAAUUCUAUUUCCUUGAUUGGUCCUAAUUUGGAUCCACAUUAUUAAAAACAAAAGGGGUAAUAACAACACUAAAUCUCCAACGAGAUUUGCACUCCAAAGCUGACAAAAGUUUUCACUAAUCAACAUGAGAAUAAUUCACUAAAUCAUGCCUUAAAUUGCACUUACCAUCUGGGGUAACCCAGUAUGGUCAUGGUAGUCUCUAAUAGCUUCCGAGAGUUCAAGCAUUCCACCUACAGAACAAAAAUGUGUAAAGAAAGAAACCCAACAAAACCAAUAAGUCGAAAUCAACAAUAAACAAACCAGAUAAACCACCUUUCUUAGCACAAUUGAGCACAUAAUCAACACUGACUUGGUCUAGAUCCACAUCAUCUAGGGUAACCGCGCCAGGAGGCAUUAUCACCUUCUUUAUUAAGCUACCGGCAAGUAUAAAAUCCAGAAGUAUUCGCCUGUCCCGGCGAUACCGUUGCAAAAGCUCCACAGCAUUCUUCCUACAUUCCAUUACCAAAUUGAAGUUUUCGUUUUGUUGUUUUAGCAAAGCAAAAUUCUUUCAAAAUAAAAAGCAAGACUUACUCUUCCAUCUGAAAAUUAUUCCAACUCUGCUACCUGACAAAUACCCCAAAACAGGAAAACUCAAGCUUCACAGAGUGGCACAGUUUGCUCUGGGUGGUAAGCAAGAAAAGGGAAGAAAAGAAAAUGAAACUUAAAGCUGGGGCUCCAUUUCUUAGAAGCACAAGAGAAGAUCCGUUUCCGUUUGGCGGCUAUGAUUUCAGAGAAGAAAAUGAAACUGGAGAAUCAGAACAAGCAUGUCCGAAUUGUUUACCUCAGUUUUUCUCAGCAACCAUACAGAGCAUUAAGCUUAAAUGAGUGAGAGAGAGAAUCGCGGGACUCAAAAAUGUAGAGGAGGAAAGCAAGUGAAACGGCGAGUUUUGACCGCUGUUGAGUUGAGUUGGGUUUGGCAGCUUCAAGCGGAAGUCCCGGCAACGGGUUUUGAAAGAGAUAGAGAGAGGAAAUCCCAGUCGAUUUGGAUCUAAAAAGCUAUUUUUAAUUAUUUGUGGAGAAAGUAACUAUUUGGGAAUUUUACUGCUCGGUGGAAAGCUGGACGCACCGCGCCAUGGUGCAAGAAGGAACACGUGACGAAAUUCUAAGGAAGGGACGUGGGUUUCCAAUUCCAAUAGACGAGUUUCUCAAGUCUGAUAAAAGAGGAAUGCUAGAAACCUUCUUUCUAACUUUCUCUUUUAGAUUUUCUUCCUUCUCUUUAUGACAAGUGUCAUUUUCUUUACACUUAAAAUAAUGUCAUUAAUGCAUCACACAAUUUAGUUUUUGUUUUCCUAGUUUACCCUUUUAAAAUGUAUUGGUUUUUAUAUUUUCUUCAAUUUAUUCAAAUUUUGUUAUAACUUCUUUAGCACAUUGUUAAAAAAUAAAUAAUAAAAAAACAUAAGAAAAAGCCAUACUUUUAAAAAAUAAAAAUAAAGUUUGUUUCAUGACAUUGUUAUCAUCUUUAUUUUGUUUUUAACAAAACACGCGUUCUCUUUAGAAAAAUUAAAAAUUUUAAAAACAUCAGUUUUUAUUUUCUUAUUUAAUUUUUAACAAGGUGUUAAGAAAGUUUUUUAAAAAAAAAAAAUUAGCUUGUUAUUUUAAAAAAAUUAAUACAUUAAUAAGGGUAAACUUGGAAAAUAAAAACUAGUUUGUGUGAUACAUUAAUGACAUUGUUUUUAGUGUAACAUGAGAAGAAGGGAAAAUGUCCAAAAGAGAAGGUUAGAGAGAAGGUUGCUAGCACUCCCCCUAAUAAAAUCAUAUUCUUCAAAGUAUUAGAAUACAAUAUAUAUAUAUAGUUUCGAUUUCUUGGAUCAUAAGAGUCCAAGAGAUUGUGGUCACUCACCGUUGGAUAUUAAUCCAAUGGUUCAAAAAAGUUUCUUAAAAAGAGUGCAAUAGUAAGUGAACCGUUCAAUUUACAUCCAAUGAUGAGUGACCACAAAUCUCUGAAACUCCUGUAGUCCAAGAAAUCAGGACUAUAUAUAUAUAUAUAUACGUGAAAGCUUUCGUUUUCUAAACAAAAUCGGAAGGAUUCUUCUUCUAGGGUUUGAAAUCAUGAAUCCAGGUAUGUUUUCCAAACAAACACUAUUUUUUGUAACUAAUGUAUUUAUUUUACCAUCCUCCAAUCUUUAGCAGAAAUUGAAGGAUAUUUUUAUUAUGAUAUUCUGACAGGACCCAACCCAAAUUUCACUUUGGAAUCCAAGCUGAACCCUGUGAGUGUCCAAAACCUGGCUAAUGUUGAGCACAAAGACCAAACUGCCCUUCUAACUAAAAAACCACUUUUAAAAUAAGAUUAUCUUCUGCCCCUGUAAUUUACUCAUUUCCCAAAACCUCCACCUGUCAUCAAACAGUUAUAUAACUCAAUCGUUCAGCAUGCAUUCAAUUAAAUCCAAACAAAUUAAGCAUCAUAAUAUCCUGAUCCCAAAUCGCAAUAAAUCAAAUAAAUCAAUCUGUCAAUAAAAUUCAUCUCAAUUUUCAGAACAACAAUACUGCAUUGGUAAUCUUAAACAUUCUAACUCAUGGUUGCACCUUGUAACAAUAGGCUGCCUACGUACCCUUACUGAGGGAUCAAGCCACAAGUAGUUCUUUAUUUGCAAAACCACUCUAGAUCUCAUAUUUCAUCUCAGCUUUCUAUUUCAAACUUCCUGGCAUUUCUCACAUAGCAAUAUAUAAUCAAAUGAAGAAAUAAAAGCAUUUAUAUCAAGUAAUCAUGCUUGGAAAGCCAUAACCAUCAAUUCCUCGUGACACCAAUGGUGACACGUCCUGACCUGUAAUCUUCGCUAGACUCAGGAGACAUCUGGUCAACCUGGUCCGCAAUCCUCGCUCCCACGGUCCGGAUAACUCUAAGACUCGUGGGGCAAAAUAUGCUAGAAAAACUUAAGAUAUUUAAUACUAUAUAAAAUAAUGUAAGAUAAAGAUAAAUGAACAUAAUAAAAUAAAAUAACACAAGUUAAAGAUUAUAAGUUCCGAACACCCUUGUAUUGAACUCACGUAAAGUUCAUAAAUAAAUAAAUAUAUAUAUAUAUAUCAAUAACUUGAUUAGAAUCUAUAUAUAUAUUUCCAUCUAUCACUUGUAAAACAAAUGUGACGCUUAAGAAAAUAAUGGUAACUGUAUAAAAUCCUCAAUUUAGUUUAAAAGUAUCUCAGAACUUAAAUUCUCUCCACCUAGGUGUAACCCCAUUUCUGAUCCAUCAAUUCCUUUAAUACCGUCAAUUCCAUAUAUGCCAUCGAUUCCAUAUAUCUGUCAAUUCCAAUAAUAAUCCGUCAAUUCCAAUGUUAGUCCAUAAAUUCCAUCCUCGCAGGUCUCGGAACCAUAAAGUUAACUGAGCCGCAUUCCUCGUAGGCCUCAGAGAUAACACUUCAAUCUGAGCCGCAAUCCUUGCACCACACGGUUCAGGCGUCCUCGAAACUCGUGGGGCAUCAUCAAAAUAACAAACUGUCUCAAGGCAACUGAGGGGGUACCCUUGCGGUGGGUUUGAAAAGCAUAACUCGUCAUUUAUAUAAACUUUAAAUAAAUUGGUUCUCAACUAAACUUAAAAUAUAUACAUAUAUAUAUAUAUCAUAAUCUGAUAAAAGCCAAAAGCUAAGAUUCAUCGUUUUCAACUACUGAAUAUAUAUAUAUAUAUAGUACACACUUGGCUAGUUUGUUAACUAUCUCGAUCUCUGCUUAGCAUACCAUUCCAAUAUUAUAUUUAUACUCCAACCACACAAUUAACUAUAUGAACAUAUAUAAACUUGUGAUAAAUAAACAGAUAAUUAAAUACUCAUCUCGAAAUCACAUAAAAUCAUGAAAUUAGAACUACAACUAAACCAAAUGAACACUCGCACGCACAUGAGCUUUCUAAAGGCUUAAACAUAUCACAUGGAGCUCAUCCUCGUUAUUUAAUCCAAAGUCUUGGCCCUGGGCUCCUAGAAGUGUGUGCAUUAUAUUUGAAGUCAUUCUCAAGCCUAUAUAAGCCUUUCCAAUGAUUAAAACGGUCUAGAAGUGUCUCGGGACUCAAAAAGCGAUAAGUACCUAAAAAGUCAACUCGGGACCCCGUGGGGUCCAUGUCCUCAAGAUUCCGACCCGAGAGUUCCUAGAGGUCUUAACAUGCCUAGGACACAUGUCCCGAGAGUUUGGUCUCGAUCGGACGGUCUAGAAGUGUCUCGGGACUCACGAUCGCACAAUUGCACGGUUACCGUAAACCCAGGCCUAGGGUUGGCCUUUUCGGAGUCUCCGGGACUCCGAUUCCCGAUCUAUUGAAUCCUACACGAUCCGGGAAUUGUUUAGAUUGACAUAUAUGAAAAUAACUAUGAUCCAACGGUUUAAAUGUAUCAAACCCGAAAAUCACACAAUAUGCGAGAUCCGAUCGGGGCUCAAACGUUGUCCAAAUUAAGAUCCGUGAAUUCCUACGCGCUCGUAACGACAUGAGGAUCUAUCUAGGACUAAGAGUGACCUCACUAUGCAGCCCAUGCGCCGCCACAUGUGGAAAUACUCCAAACCACCCGCCCAAACUCCUAUCCUAGGUAUAACACCCUAUUUGGAACCACUUUUGUUCUUGAACCUACCUCGAAAAAUGAGCGGAAGUGGUAGAAAUCUUAUCCCGAAAUCUGGCCAAAUUUUGGGCUACAAAUCGAGUUGCCUACGCUAGAAAUUGAUUAAAUCCUACUCAACCAUCAGCUAGAACACAUUGAAAGGAUGGAAAAACAUACCAAAUUCUAAGGAAAUGGUGGCCGGAGGUGUCUGAACGAGCUCCACGAAAUUCCGUCAAAAACUGUCCAAACUGUCCUGUUUUGUGGCGGUUUCCAGCGACCACGACGGUGGAUCGAGGCUGAGAUGGGCUGGAACUGGAAGAGGGAAGUAUGGUGGUUCUAACGGGACUAGUCUUUCUUCGAUUGGCGGCCAGAGUUGAGAGAUAUCACCUUUGGAAGUCAACUGGUCCAACUCCAAACUGCAGAAAAUCUGGGUUUUAAAAAAAAAUAAACUUCAAAUUAUUUACGGUUAUGCCACUAAACUUCUUUUAAUCUUCAUUUCUUCAUUACAAUCCCAAUUCGAGUUCACUACGUGUCUACAGACUCGUUUCGACGUGCUCUACGCAACGGUAUAAUCGGAAUUUCCAAAUUCCUUCCCAAACUUAAAAUGACCUUUUUGCCCCUUAUAAUAUUAAAUAAUAUUUUAAUUUCUCAAAAACCUUAAUUAAUUCAAAUCAUUUUAUUUUAAUGUUUAUUUCAAUUUAUUUCCUCUUUUAAAUUUAUUCUCUCUUACUUUAAAUAUUUUAACACUUUUUUCGGGCCGGGAUAUAACAAUUUCACCAAAGUUUCCCCGGUCAACAAGUCAAUAUGUAAACCUAUUAAAAACAUUCCGGGGGUAACAUUGUCUUUUUCUUUAAUAAUUUAGUAUUUAAUUAUUAGUUUAGGACCAGGUCGUUGCAUAUUCUAUUUUUCCAUAACUCAAAUUGUAUGAACCUAUUGAAAUUCAUCUCUCUAAUUGAAUUUUCUUUGUGUUCUCAGAUUGGGAAAACUUGCCUAAGCACCUCUUAAAUUUAGUUCUGGAGUUAUUAGUAUCACCAUUAGACUAUUUGCGAUUCAGUGUUAUUUGUAAUUCAUGGCAUUCUAUAACAAAGGACAAUGAAAAUAAACUCGCUAAAAUGACAACUCCAAUGCGCUUGAUCUCUGGUAAUGAAGAAGAUACAUGGUACUUAUACAAUGUUAUGGAUGAUAAGGUUCUGGAUUUGCAAAUAAGAAUGUCCAAGAAGAAUAUGAGAUUUUUUGGUUCUUCAAAAGGAUGGCUAGUAGCUGUGGAAUAAAAUUUUGUAGUAACAUUAUUGAAUCCAUUCUCUAUGGUUAUAGGGAGGGAAAAGAAAGAAAAUUCAAUCAUUCGCCUUCCUCCACUAACACCUCAUGAACGGGGAAAGGAGCAUUGUGUUAGAUUUCUUUACAUACAUGUUCAAGAUCUUUCACACAAUCUGAAAUACGUGAAGACAUAAAGACAUACCUAGAGCCAUCUUCCUUGAGUAUACGACCUCUGAACUCAUUCAAUCCGUAGCAGCAACAAUCUCGGCAAGAACAGGAACGGCUCAAGACUUCUGCUCUCUCUCAGAAUUUGUUUCAUCUCUCUCUUUAUGAUGAGAUUAGGGUUAGAGAACAUGUCUGAUGAGAGCAGGGCCUUAAGCUUAUAUAAGGCUAGGUCAAGUAGUCUCUACUCAUCACCGAGGACCGACUUGACUAAUCUUCCAAGCCCACCAAAACGGUUCACGCAAAAAAGGAAAUAAAUAGUACUCAUUAAUAGGCUUCAAAACCUUUCUUUAUUCCACAAAGUUUUGGGCCACAAGGUAUAACUUAAUUUAAACUCUUAUCAAAACCUGAUAUAACUUAGUAUCUAGUGCAUCGAUCUAAAUAGGAAAACAUAACAUUCUCCCACUAGAUCAUGCACUAGAGCACUAAGCUUCUAUAUUCCAAAAGGUUUGAUAAUCUUUAUUGACCAUGAGUUUAAAAUUGUUAAGUCCUUCCCCUCAAGCUAUAGUGAAAGUGAUUAGACAAAACGAACUAUAGACAAGUACUGCUCUCUUUAUUAAAAACUGGCCAUUUAUAAUCACAUAAUGCAAUCUCAAAACAGAUGAAGCACCUACAAACGUGAACCUUAAUAUGUACUGAUCCAUAAUGUGAAUCUUUAUGUUUUUCAGUACAUGUACCACUUUAUGACUUAGCAAGAGUCAAUCGGCAAUGUUAUUAAAACUAUAGUAUCUCAAAAGAGACCAUAAACUCACAUGCAUAAACAAAAUUGCACAAUAAGUUUAAACAGCUAAACAGUCAAAAAGUAGAAUUUAUUUAACAAUAAAUAAAACUGUCAACCAAAUUAACAUCCAUAAAUACAAAUCCCUCAAUCCAGAAAAUAGCUAAAUAAACAAACUAGUAAAAUAUCAAAACGGGAACAAGACUCCCACUAGAUUGUAGAAUCAAAGCUAGGAAAUAAUCUCAUGCUCUCAACAUAUCUUAGAAAAGCUUUUGAAUGCAAAAACUUUGUGAAUGGAUAUGCAAUCAUAUCUUAAAUUAUGAUAUGAUCAAACUUGACUAGUUUGUCCUCUACCUUCUCCCUCACUAUUAUAUAUUUUUUGUCAAUAUACUGAAGUACAGACGACAUCUUGUUGUUCAUGAAGUGAAAAACAGCCGCAAUGUUAUCAUUAUAUAUGUGUAUUGAUCUAGAAAUUGAGUCCACUACCUUAAUGUCUUUAAUAAAAUUCCUUAGCCAUACUGCAUGAGAAGUGGCUUCAUAGCAAGCAAUGUAUUCGAAAAACAUGAUUGAACUAGAAACACCAGAUUGUUUAGCACUCUUCCAAGCAACGGCUGCUCUUGCCAUCUUGAAAAGAAAACCUAAAGUAGAGUUGUAAUCAUCCUCUGCUUUUCCAAGAUUUGCAUCAGCAUAACCAACAAGCUCUAAAUUCUCUGUGCGUCUGUAAAUCAAUAUAUAAGCCUUUGUUCUCCGUAGGUACCUCAAAAUCUUAUUCUUCUUUAUUCUUGGGGCAAUGCUUAUUCUCUAAAUCUCUAUUAGCUAACGGAACUUUUUGUCCAGAACAUAUACUCAUGUCAAAACGCUUGAGUAUCCUUUCAAUGUAUGUUUUCUACGACAUGCUUAGGAGAUCGAGCUUAAUUUAACUGAAUUUCAAUGCCUAACACAAAAAGGCUUAUCCUAAAUCCUUCAUCUCAAAAUUCAUUGAAAAUAGCUCCUUAGUCUCUUUCAGUAAAUUGUGGUCAUUUGUAAUCAAAAGUAUAUCGUCAACAUAUAGCACUAGAAAAAUAAAUCAGCUUCCACACUUCUUCAAAUAAAUGUAUUGAUCGGCUAUGUUCUCUUCGAAACCAUAAGAUCAAACAGUUUGAUGGAAUUUGAAAUACCACCCUCUGCUUGCUUGCUUUAGUCCAUAAAUUGUCUUACCAAGUUUGCAAACCAUAUACUUUUUUCCUACUUUGCAAACCCUUCGAGUUGCCUCAUAAAAUUUUCUUCUUCGAGUUCACCAUUCAGGAAAUCAGUUUUUACAUCCAUUUGAUGUAAAAGUACGUUAUAAUGUGCCAUCAAAGCCAUAAUGAUGCGGAAAGAAUCUUUGGUGGAAACUGGAGAAAAUGUCUCAGUGUAGUCAAUUCCCUCCCUUUGGGUGAAUCCUUUUGCUACCAAUCUAGCCUUAAAUCUUUUGAUUCUUCCAUCCUUAUCCUUUUUUGUUUUAAAUACCCAUUUCGAGCCUACCAAUUUCUGGCUCUUAUGAGGUUCAACUAAUUCUCAUACUUGAUUAUUCUUCAUGCUUUCGAGUUCAUUCAACAUUGCUUCCCUCCAUUUGUCUGCAUUAUGACUCUCUAUAGCUUCUUUAAAAUUUGUUGGAUCAGCCUCAUCUCCAAUGUCAAAAUCUGCUUCUUGUAAUUACACAUAAUCUGAAUUUGUUGUGGAUCUUCUUGGUCUGUCAGAUCUCAUCGGUUGCACUGGUUCUUGUGGAUUAUCUAGCUCAAGAUUAUCAACAGCUUGUUCUUGUUGAUCAACUGGUUCUUCAAACUGAGGUGGUUCCAAUACAAUUUCACUUAAAGAAAUCAAGGGUGUAACAUCAUGUUCAUCAUUCUCAAUCACAGCUACAUCAUCUUCUUUUUCGAAAAUAAAAUCUUCAUUCCCAGUGGCAUUCUCCUCAUGCUUUAUAAACUUUGCACAACUAGUCUCAGCAAUUCGGGCGCCAUAAGUUGGAUAGUAAAAUCUAAAACCCUUUGACCUUGCUGAAUAACCUAUAAAAUGACAGCUAAUCGUUUUAAGAUUGAGCUUCUUCUCUUGAAUGUUAUAGAUUAUAGCUUCAGCCUUGCAAUCCCAUACAUGAAGAUGUCGCAUGUUAGGCUUUCUGGAAGUCUAAAUUUUGAAAAAAUGUCUUAGGUACGGAGUUACUAGGCACUCUAUAGUUUGUUGUUUUGGUCGCCUCUCUCAAAAAGCGUAGGCAAAUCAGUUUUAAAAAUCUUGCUAAGAAUUAUGUCCUUCAAAGUUCGAUUUCUUCUCUCAACCACACCAUUCUGUUGCAGAAUUCAUGGCGUUGUGUACUGAGCAGUGAUUCCAUUUUCUUGUAGGUACCUAGUAAAAAGGUCUAGUACGUUUUCCUCAUUCAUCAAACAUCUAUAAUAUUCACCCAUUAUGUCCGACCUCACAAUUUUGAUCUUUUUCUCAAGUUGUCUUUCUACUUUAGUUUGAAAUUUUUUGAAAAUUUUAAAAGCUUGAGACUUUUCUGCUAUGAGAUAUAGAUAACCAAAACGAGAAUGGUCAUCUAUAAAGGUGAUGAAAUAGCAAUUUCCAUCAAUUGUCUGAUGAGGAAAUGGUCCACUAAUGUUUGUAUGGAUGAUUUCUAAAAUAUCACAACUGCACCUUUUCUUUUAGUCUUAGUGAGUUUUUCUUUAACACAUUCAAUACAAAUUUCGUCAUCAUCGAAAGUCAUUAAUGGCAAGAUUUGUUCCUUAACAAGAAUUUUCAUUCUUUCUUUUGAAAUGUGCCCUAAACAUCCAUGCCAUAACCUAGUGGAUGUUCUUACACUUCUCAUCCUUUUCUCACUCGAUUCAGCUAUUAAAACUUCACAACCUUUAUUGUAAUUGAGACAAUAUAAUCCAUCCUUCCAUCAUCUUCUGCAGGGACGUCUAUGGCUUGGUCCGAACCAAUUUUUUCUGCGAGAUCUGAGCCUAAACCACAUUAUACGCAACAUAUGAUGGGUUCUCCUCUGGUGGACACCACUAUCCCUUCCCUACCACCCCAACCCAAUGAACAAAACAUCGUCCACAGAAACUUGGGUUUUGAGAUUGCCUGUGCCAAGCCUACUGCUCCUGACUUCGAUGGUCGUGGGGAUCCUACUCUCUUUGUUGAUUGGAUAUCGGCUAUGGAAGAGUAUUUUGAAUGGUAUGAUAUGUUCGAUACAUAACAGAUCUGGUUCGCCAAACUCAAACUAAUAGGAGCCGCAAAGCAAUACUGGAAGGCUACUGAGCACCAUAUUUAACAACUCGCCUGUGAUUUUAUGGGAUGAUAUGAAAUUGAAACUCCGAGAACUAUACCUUACAUCUUUUUAUUGUCACCAAUUGUUAGAUCAAUUAUGGACUUUUUCCCAGGGCAUUUCAAUAGUCCAAGACUAUUAUUCCCACUUUGUGGAGCAUAAAUUGCGUUCUGCUCUGCAGCAAGAGCUCGUAGUUACAGAUUCUCGUUUUAUUCAUGGCCUUAGGGAUGAUCACAAACACGAGGUAAGUAGGUCACGUCCAGAUGUGUUGGAAGCCGUUUAUUGCCAAGCCUUGGAUGCUGGACAUAUUUGUCGCCACAACAUUCAGGAUAUCCUGCACCACCACCUAACAAAGGACCGACUAUUUCAACUAAUGCUCGCAUUGAAUGUUCCAAUUCGAACUUUAACUAUUAACACUCCCGCUAGUUAGCUUUCUGAGAUUGUGGAGCCUCUCGAAGGUGUCUAUGAUCCAUAUAUCAAUGAUUGCUGACCUUCGUCCCUUAUUAUUCAUACUUGCAAUUGGCGUUAUCAUCAUUAAUUUACAUUUUGUGGUUGUUUACUUAUCGGAGUCAAGUUCUUUUUCCAGGGAGAGAAUCAUGCAGGACGCAUAGGACCUAAAUUUAUUAGUUUCCUAGAUUUCCCAAUUCUAGUAGGAUUUCAACAUUUCUAGAUUUCUAGAUUUCUAGUUUUAAGUUUCAUAUGUAAUAAUAGCAUAACACUAACAUCAAGUAAAUUGAAACAUCUCCUCUAAAAAUUCACCAGUAACCUCAAAACAGCAUAUGGGAUACAAACAAGAACUAAUUGGGGCACCUAGGAGGAUAGGAAGCUAAUUACCCAAAACGAAAAGGUUACCCAAAAAUUGAAGCAGGUCAUCUUCGCUUGCAACACCAAAUCUAAAAGUUGUUAUAUAGAGGCUUUGAGAUUGAAAAUCAGAAAAUCAGAAAGAACACACAAUUUAAGCGUGCCUCGUGUCACGGGAUGAGCCAGCGGCAUCGCAUGGCGGAAGCGAUACACACAUUAUGCUCGCUUCAAACACGUCUUGUGAGGCCCGGGAUCCCUUCGGAUCUCACCGAUCUUCAUGAUAUUCAUGACUCUCACAACUUCGCCAGAGGUUCACCAUCAAGUGUCGUCUCUCAUAGGAGCCAGGCCCCAUAGCUAGACAACGAGUCACACUACAUUGUGACAAUACAAUCAUCUCGCAUCCAGCAACGAACCCUUGAUGUCCAUACAUCAAGCUUUGCAUAAGACACGUCAAGUGCAUCGACCAUGUCGCAUGCCCCUACUUGUGGCUCGCUCUUAUCCAAGUCAAGACAUAGCGAUCCAACACAUCAUCGUUUUAUCCACACUUCUGUUCGUCAUUCUGUUAGCAACCAAGAUAGCUCACAUCCUCAAGCUAUACACGUAAGCUGUCACACUCUCAUGUCACCCAAGCAUUGGCGACAUAUGUAUUCCGAAUGUCCCACAUAAUCAUUUAUGCAUUGCAUAUUAGAUGGGCGUACCGGCAUGCCGAGUAUCUUCCUUUCAUAUUAGACAAGGCCGAACCCCAAGCCAAGUCCAUCGAGUAUUGUCAAAUGUCUCGCUUGCUAACGGCAUAGCGAAUGCUAUAUGUUGACCUCACUCUUCACAACAAUCUGCAAUAUGAAAGGCCCCUUGUGUUCUUAUUGUCCUUGGGAAGUCCAUUCCCUCAGAGACAUAAAUUUUCCUUCAACAAUUCCAUGCCCGCCCUUAUCACUACCUCUAAUGUCAUAAGGAUGCUCGCUUAGUACCACAAGGGUGUAAGCAUCAGGGGUGGUAGAGAGGGUGACACCAUGUCACCCUUAUAUAGCAAUUUAUGCAAUUAGCAUUCUGUCCGGAGGAAACAUCACCUAUGCAUAAGGAGUCAUAAUUGGGCAUAACUAAUUUGUACUAACUUCGAAUGGCAAAUCAUUAGUUGCGUUGAACAUAUCUCAACAUCAUAAAUGUCCCAGUAUUCUUAGCUUCCUCAUAUUUCUCCCAUAACUUUUGAAAAUACCCAAAAUACCCUUCACGAGUGCAACCCAGCCAACAUAAACCAUUCUAGCUCUUAAGCCCUCGCCCUUCCACACUUAGACUACCUUAUAAGCGCAUAUAUGUCCCAAUGGAGUCACGACAGUACUCGUUUAUUUGCGAUCCGUGACAUUCUCCCCCACUGAUAAUGUCGACGUCCUCGUCGACAUGCCCAUUGCACUGCCGCAUAUGGAGUCACAAUAGCACUCACUUAUGUACAAUCUGUGACAUUCUUCCUCACUGAUAGUGGCGACGUCCUCGUCGACAUGCCCAUUGCACUGUCGCAUAACAACACUAUUUAGGAAUAUUCUAUUCUCCUCGCUCAAUGGACCACAAUGCACCAUUGUGUUCACCCUUUUAACUUCUCUUGAAGUUCCACGUAUUUUCCCUCUUUGGGCUGAGACCUUUGUCUCUUGUCGCACUCAACCAUCGAACAAACACAUAGCUCGCUGGUAAGAUACUUCCACAUUUUUCACAUUGAAAGAGAUGCACCCAGCUUGGGUGUGACUUGUAACCCAACUGCAUGUCUUCCAUGGCACCUCCAUUUGUUUAUGCAUUUGUACGACCAUACCUUCAUGACAUUCAUGGGUUUCCCCAACGAGUAAGACUCUGGGAUCCACUUUUGGAACAAUCCUUUGUUCUGAAUAUCAGUUAGCAACUUUACGUCAAACAUUAUGCCCCACCUACACAUUCUCCACAAUUGUAAGAGCAACCACUUAAGUAACUCCUUCAUUAAAGCCUAGCCUGUCAGCGACUUACUUCCCUUGAAGACUGCACAUGGGAUACAAACAUGGGAAGACUGCGAGGCCACAUUCAAUAGAGAGAGAGAGAGAGAGAGAGAGAGAGAGAGAGAGAAAGAGAGAGAGAGAGAGAGAGAGAGAGGUUUUAAGACUGAAAAUUUGAAAACCAGAAGAACACAUACUUUAAGUGUGCCUUGACAGGGUUGCGGAAAAAGACUAAAAAGCUCCCAUUGUGAAAAAUAAAUAAAUAAAUUUAAAAUACUAACGAAAAUCAUUAAAGAGAGCGAACACCAAACGACGACGUAGAGGGAGACGAGAAAGAGAGAGCUUAUUCUCUAUGUUUUAGCUCUUUGUAAACAGAGCAGAAACUCACAUCGCACUAGGAAGAAUGAACGAAAGAACUAAUGCAGUUAGACAUUAACUAUAUAAAGAGCUCUGAACUCUCUCUCAUUUCCAAUUCUCAUUACUCACAAAGACAGAGAUAGAAUGUGAGAGAAAGCAAGCUAGAGAGAAAGUUGAGAGCGAGUUAGAGAUAGAGGGAAGGCGAAAGCGAGCUAGAUAGUGAGCAAGUGAGGGCGAGUUAGAGAGCGAGCAAGCUAGAGAGAGAGCGAGAGCGUGAAUAGAUGGAGUUGAUUUCAAGAUAACUAUCUGAAUUUAAUUAGUACUCACUCGCUGAAUUUCAAUUUAUUGCAUCGUUUAACUAUUGCAUGUCAAAUAAAUUUUGAAUUAAUGGAUCUUGAACUAGGUAAUUUUCAAUGUCUGAUUUCUAGAGCUUUCAAUUUUUAGUUUGAGAGGUUAGUGAUUGAGAGCAAAGUAGUUAUCUUUUGUAGCAGUUAUUCUAUGAAUUUGAUUGAAUUUACUUUCUCUUAAUUUCAGUUCCCAUAAUUUCAAGCUCUGUCAUUUGUAGGUUAAUUCGUUGAUUUUCAACUUGAGAUAGAGAACUAAAAGUUUUUCGUGAAUGCAAAUGUCUGGGUAGAAUGUGAAGGUUCGGUCACAUUUCAAAAUGCAACUUAGAAACAAGAGCAUUAUAUGCAAUUCCACCCGGAGAUACAAACUUCUUCUAAGAAUGAGAAAGGAAAGAAGAAAGCUGAUAAAAAGAAGGCUUGCAAUUUGCGCAUAAAGAAGUUUACCUCCGUUACUGAUUUGUUCAACCAUCAAAAGUAUCAUCUGGGUCGAUUUCACGCAGUGUGCACGAAGCCUAAAUGCAAGAAGAAGUUUACUACUUCAAAAGGUGCAAAAGGCUGCUCUCCGUUUGCUGUGCUUGGUGUUGAAUCAUUUUGACUAAAUUGCUUUAAUUUGUGUUAAUUGAUGUGUGCUUAGUCUAGUCUUCAUCUUCUUGAUGUUUGUUUGGAUAUUGCUGGGAGAACACAAAUGCAACAAUUGCUUACUAAGUUAUACAAAUACAAUUAUAUUGAGUGACAUAGGAAAUCUGGUGAUAUUGUAACUGACUUGUGUUGGACAAACCUCACUAUAAUAUUGAGAUUUUGAGUGCAUUUUCACAUGUACUUCUCAUGGAUUGCACAUAUAAGACUAAUAUGUAUCGUUUUCCACUAUUGCAAGUUAUAAGGGUAGCAUAUAUUAAUAUGACAUUCUCUGUUGCGUUUGUAUAUAUGAAUGUCAAGAAGGAAGACAAUUACACAUGAAUGUCAUUUGUAGGUUAAUUCGUUGAUUUUCAACUGGAGAUGGAGAACCAAGAGCUUUUCGUGAAUGCAAAUGCCUGGGCAGAAUGUGAAGGUUCGGUCACAUUUCGAAAUGUAACUCAGAAACAAGAGUAUUAUAUGCAAUUCCAUCUAGAGAUACAAACUUCUUCUAAGAAUGAGAAAGUAAUGAAGAAAGCUGAUAAAGAGAAGGCUUGCAAUUUGUGCACAAAGAAGUUUACCUCCGUUACUAAUUUGUUCAACCACCAGAAGUAUUAUCGAAGUCGAUUUCAUGUGGUGUGUACGAAGCCUAAAUGCAAGAAAAUGUUUACUACUCAAGUGAUUAUUAGAAUCACUUGAAAGUGUGCAAAUAAGUUGCUCUCCGUUUGCUGUACUUGCUGUUGAUUCAUUCUAACUAAAAUGCUUUAAUUUGUGUUAAUUGAUGUGUGUUUAGUUUAGUCUUCAUCUUCUUGAUGUUUGUUUGAAUAUUAUUAUGAGAACACAAAUGCAAUAAUUGCUUACUAAGUUAUCCAAAUACAAUUAUAUUGAGUGGCAUAGGAAAUCUGGUGAUAUUGUAACUGACUUGUUUUGGACAAACCUCACUAAUAUUGAGAUUUUGCAUGCAUUUCCACCUUCACUUAUCAUGGAUUGCACUUAAAAGACUAAUAUGUAUCGUUUCCCACUAUUGCAAAUUAUGAUGGUGACAUCCACUAAUAUGACAUUCUCUGUUGCCUAUGUAUAAAUGAAUGUCAAGAAGGAAGACAAUUACACAUGAGCUUUGUCAUUUGUAGGCUAAUUCGUUGAUUUUCAACUGGAGAUGGAGAACCAAGAGCUUUUCGUGAAUGCAAAUGCCUAGGCAGAAUAUGAAUGUUCGGUAACAUUUCGAAAUGCAACUCAGAAACAAGAGCGUUAUAUGCAAUUACAUCCAGAGAUACAAACUUCUUCUAAGAAUGAGGAAGGAACAAAGAAAGCUGAUAAAGAGAAGCCUUGCAAUUUGUGCACAAAAACGUUUACCUCCGUUACUAAUUUGUUCAAAAACCAGAAGUAUCAUCGGGGUCGAUUUCAAGCGGCAUGAAGCCUAAAUGCAAGAAGAAGUUUACUACUUAAGUGAUUAUCAGAAUCACUUGAAAGGGUGCAAAUAGGCUGCUCUCCGUUUGCUGUGCUUGCUGUUGAUUUAUCCUAACUAAACUACUUUAAUUUAUGUUAAUUGAUGUGUGUUUAGUCUAGUCUUCAUCUUCUUAUUGUUUGUUUGGAUAUUACUGGGAGAACACAAAUGCAACAAUUGCUUACUAAGUUAUCCAAAUACAAUUAUAUUGAGUAGCAUAGGAAAUCUGGUGAUAUUGUAACUGACUUAUUUUGGGCAAACCUCACUAUAAUAUUGGGAUUUUGCGUCCAUUUCUACAUGUACUUCUCAUGGAUUACACUUAUAGAACUAAUAUGUAUUGUUUCCCACUAUUGCAAGUUAUGAGGGUGACAUAUACUAAUAUGACAUUCUCUGUUGCGUAUGUAUAUAUGAAUGUCAAAAAGGAAGACAAUUACAUAUGAGCUUUGUCAUUUGUAGGUUAAUUCGUUGAUUUUCAACUGGAGAUGGAGAACCAAGAGCUUUUCAUGAAUGCAAAUGCCUGGGCAGAAUGUGAAGGUUCGGUCACAUUUCGAAAUGCAACUCAGAAACAAGAGCAUUAUAUGCAAUUCCACCCAGAGAUACAAACAUCUUCUAAGAAUGAGAAAGGAAUGAAGAAAGCUGAUAAAGAGAAGGCUUGCAAUUUGUGCACAAAGAAGUUUAUCUCUGGUACUGAUUUGUUCAACCACCAAAAGUAUCAUCGGGGUUGAUUUCACGCAGUGUGCACAAAGCCUAAAUGCAAGAAGAAGUUUACUACUAAAGUGAUUAUCAGAAUCACUUGAAAGGGUGCAAAUAGGCUGCUCUCCAUUUGAUGUGCUUGAUGUUGAUUCAUUAUGACUAAAUAGCUUUAAUUUGUGUUGAUGUAUGUUUAGUCUAGUCUUCAUCUUCUUGAUGUUUGUUUGGAUAUUGCUGGGAGAACACAAAUGCAACAAUUGCUUACUAAGUUAUCCAAAUACAAUUAUAUUGAGUGGCAUAGGAAAUCUGGUGAUGUUGUAACUUACUUGUUUUGGACAAACCUCACUAAUAUUGAGAUUUUGCGUGCAUUUCCACCUUCACUUAUCAUGGAUUGCACUUAUAAGACUAAUAUGUAUCGUUUCCCACUAUUGCAAAUUAUGAUGGUGACAUCCACUAAGAUGGCAUUCUCUGUUGCCUAUGUAUAUAUGAAUGUCAAGAAGAAAGACAAUUACACAUGAGCUUUGUCAUUUCUAGGUUAAUUUGUUGAUUUUCAACUGGAGAUGGAGAACCAAGAGCUUUUCGUGAAUGCAAAUACCUGGGCAGAAUGUGAAGGUUCGGUCACAUUUCGAAAUGCAAUUCAGAAACAAGGGCAUUAUAUGCAAUUCCACCCGGAAAUACAAACUUCUUCUAAGAAUGAGAAAAGAACGAAGAAAGAUGAUAAAGAGAAGGCUUGCAAUUUGUGCACAAAGAAGUUUACUUCCGUUACUGAUUUGUUCAAAAACCAGAAGUAUCAUCGGGGUGGAUUUCACGCGGUGUGCAUGAAGCCUAAAUGCAAGAAUAAGUUUACUACUAAAGUGAUUAUCAGAAUCACUUGAAAGGAUGCAAAUAGGCUGGUCUCCGUUUGCUGUGCUUGCUGUUGAUUCAUUCUGACUAAACUGCUUUAAUUUGUGUUAAUUGAUGUGUGUUUAGUCUAGUCUUCAUCUUCUUGUUGUUUGUUUGGAUAUUACUGGGAGAACACAAAUGCAACAAUUGCUUACUAAGUUAUCCAAAUACAAUUAUAUUGAGUGGCAUAGGAAAUCUGAUGAUGUCGUCACUUACUUGUUUGGGACAAACCUUACUAAUAUUGAGAUUUUUCGUGCAUUUCCACAUGUACUUAUCAUGGAUUGCACUUAUAAGACUAAUAUAUAUCGUUUCGCACUAUUGGAAAUCAUGAGGGUGACAUCUACUAAUAUGACAUUCUCUGUUGCCUAGGUAUAUAUGAAUGUCAAGAAGGAAGACAAUUGCACAUAAGGUUUGACUACAUUGAGGAAUUUGUUGGAUGAUAAGUAUCUUUCUGAUGUUAUUUCCACUGAUCAAGAGUUAACACUCAUGAAUUCUAUUACAUCUAUAUUUCCGAAAGCACGACAUUUAUUAUGUAAAUGUCAUAUUAACAAAGGAGUGUUGGUAAACUGCAAGAAGUUAUUUGGGACCCUCAAACAAAGGAAGCAAUUUAAUGAUGAUUAGAAUAGUUUGGUUGGUUCAGAAACGGAGGAGGAAUAUUGGUGUUGUUUGCGACACAUUGAGUCUAAGUUCAGUGAAUUUCAAAAAGCUCUUGAAUACAUACAUGACAAUUAGUUAAAUCCAUUUAAGGAUAGGUUUGUGGCCGCAUGGACAAAUGCUUGUAUUCAUCUUGGAUCGACGACCUCAAAUAGGUAGGUAUUUUAGUCCAUUAUUGAUAUGUUAAUUUGAAAAUUUAUUUUGCUUCCGGAAAAUUUAUUAUUGUUAUCAACAAAGCUGAAAGUGCACAUGCAAAGUUGAAGCAACAACUCCGCUCGAGUCAACUUAACUUUGAGAGAUAAUGGGUAACUAUUCACUCAUUGUUAGAGCUAGAGCACACAGAGAUUAAGGCAUCUUUUGAAAAGAGUCGAUGCUUUAUUCAACAUAGGUUCAGGCAUCCAGAGUUGAGCGAGUUAGUAGGUUUUGUUUCUAUAAAGGCUUUGAGUGUAAUUGUGUGCAAGUCAUAAAUGUAAACUAAGUUUACUUAUUGCAUGUACAUAAAUGGUCUACAUAGUUAACAUUGUAAUUUAUUUGCAAACAGGUUAGAGAUAGAUGGGGUGGAUGCUUUAUCAUGUGGUUGUGCUAUUCGUCGAACCCACCAAUUAUUAUGUGCACAUGAAAUUGCGGAGUAUAGAGUGCACCACCUAAAAUUAAACCAAAGCAUAGCCUCACUACCUCACUAAAAAUAAAACCGAAGAUGAGUAUCACUGCAGUGCCAAAGAAAAGAAACAUGGUUGCUUCUAGUUCCAUAUUGUCUUAUCCAAAAAAAUUUAGGGUAUGUACUACAAAUGUUGUAUUUUAUAAUGUGCUAUUAUCACAUAACUAAUAUAUUAUUUUACUUUUAGCUUUAUAAGCCUCGAGAAAACCAAUCAGCGUUCGAUACAUAUAUGCAUAUAGAGAAAUUCCCUGAGGGUAUUAGGAUAUAUAUCACUCACCAGACUUAAGUUCUUCCGCAUGGUAAUUGUGGAUAUAGAGUCAUAGCUACGGCAAUGGAAUUUGGUCAUAAUGAAUGGCAUAGGGUAUGCAAGGAUUUGUUGUAGCAACUACAUGAUAUGUUUUCUAUUUUUAAGAAGUGUAUUCAUGAACAUAAACGGUACAACGAGAUUGAGCGAGCGAUAAAUAAUUUUGGUGAUGGAUUUGCACCAUUAUUUUGUUGGAUGACCAUGCCUGAUAUGGGGCAUAUUAUUGCCACAUGUUAUAAUGUGGUUUUAAUCAUUCUAAGCAUGCGUCAAUGCCUUACAUUUCAUCUUUUCUCAGUUCAAUCAAGCGAAACCAAGCUACGUGAAAUUGCCAUUGGUUUUGUCGAUGAUGAUCAUUAUGUCCAAGUAUGAAUUUAUUUGUUUACGCUACAUAGUUUAAUUUUAUAUUCUAUGCAUAUAUUAAUGAAUUCUUGUUUUGUAGGUUCAUUUGUCUCCAGAUCAUCAUAUUCCAUAAGUUUCUAGAAUGGCAUAAACAAAGUUCCAUAUGUAAUGUAACACAUUUGUACUCGAGGUGCCAAGCGUGUGUGGAUGCAUUUCAAAAACUUUCGGGAGUGGAGAAUGUAGCUACUACAGAUACGGUCAUCCUAAUGACUAACGAAAAUGCACUCACUAUAAAUUUGAGAUUACAAAUCUAAUAAAUCUACAUAUUUUGUUAUAUUCCUUUUUUUAGUGGGAUAGACUUCAUAAGUUCCAUGAGUUUUAAUACAAAUAUGCAAUAACUAAUCAAAGCAACAAAGGUCCAUGAAUUAUAAUAAAUGCAUGCUAGCAAGUCAGUUAACCAUGACAAUGUUGAUAUCUCAUGGUAUACCAUAUGUUGGUACCCUCUAAAAUCUGCUGCAAGGUCUCAACUGCUUGAUAAACUUGGGAAGGUUGUGUACGCAAUCCAACUGUUUCCCUUAAUGCCACGAGCGGCCUAGUAAAGGAAAAUAUACGCUCGUCAUGCUCCAGUAACGAAUUUGAGUAGCAACUACAUCUUCAACCUCUGCGUCAACAUUACUAUCAUGAAUAGGAGCUACAUCUUCAACCUUUGUAGUAUCCUCAAAGUGAUCUUGGGAGCCGCUCUCGAUCACCUCGUUGAGGUUGUGGGACCCUGUCUAUCAGGUCGAGACGAUGAAGCCUCAAUAGUACUUCUGCAAGUCCUCUUCACACCUAAAAAAUAAUAUUAAGUACAAACUCAGUAACGGAUUCGGUAGACAACCACUAAAAAACGAAAACACUGAAAAAUGAAAAUACAUUGAGUGGACUAUAAAUACAUUGAGUGGACUGUCUAUGGUAAAUGGAACUACACACACGUACGCUUCACAUGCCUUCUCUAAUCCCAACUAGAUGGAAUCGAGGUGAAGGGUUCUCGGAGAGCCUUUAUAGAAUUUAAUUUAAUUAAAAUUCGUGAAUAUUGUAUGAUUGUUUAAAAUUGUUAAAUAAUGAUAUUAUUGAUAUUAUUUUAUUAAUGUAGGCAUAUUAUGACUUGAGAUUCGAGUUCUUGGGUUGAGAAAUUAGGAAUGAAAAUUAGGAUGAUGGGAAGAAUCCUUUGUGUAGUUGAAUCUGAAAGCAGUUAUGUUGAUGAUUAACUGUAAAAACUAUUGUAACCAAUAGAAAUAGAAUGAUAACUUUCCGAGAUAAAGAAAAAGGCAUUCUAUUAGUGUCAUUCUAAUGAAAAUAUAUGGUUGUGAAGAUGCUUUUUAUUUAUUUAUAUGUAACUCAUUUCUUCUUCUUUUUGUAAUGAUAUGGGAUCUCCUUUGUUUAUAAAUUUUGUGAGGUAUAAUGGGAAAAAAGAUGGAUUUUUGAUAUGUUAGUCCUUCAGGAAUUAGAAUACCACCUCUAACCCAAGAGUUAAAUUCCUUCAAAAUCAAGAAUUUGUGGGCCCUACUUGCAUUUUCAUUCUUUUAUGUGAAGUAAAACAUUAGUAUUUGUAAUCAAAAUCCAACGCCUUAUUUUGAUUCCAGUCAUAUUUGUUUCCCAUCAAUGGGUAUGGGAAGAAAUUGUUUCCAAUUUCCGACUUUCCCCAUAUUUACUAACACAUAAGGAAUGGACAAACACGUGGGUCCCAUCUUAAAAUCUGUAAUCACAUAUCUUCAAAAUCAUAAAUCAGAUUAACUAGUGGGGGUGCCAUUCAUGUUCUCCCAAAAAUAACCUUAGAAUUUUAGAAUUUCAUUCAUAUACUGAUUUCAUGCAGUUAGUAUAUAACUUAAUGGGAAUGACGUCUUCCCACACCAAUUUUGUACUUCCCUCAUUCCUCAAUUCCCUGAUUUCUUACUUCACUCAUUUAUGAUAAGUAAACAUUGCAUUUUUUAUUUAUUUUAAAAAAAAACUGCAUAAGUUUCUACCAUCAUACGUAAUAUAUAUAUAUAUAUAUAGCAAAAAACAGAGGAUGAUGGAACAUUCAAAAUACUAAAAAUUGCUCUUGGUUAAGAAAUUUAUUUAGCAUUGAAAAUUUUCAUUAACUAAGGAUAAUGUAAUAAAUUAACAUUUUUCAUAUUAAAAAAUUCAAAAUAAUAGCCAAAAUAAGUACAUGAAUCAUAUUUUUAUGGGACACAAUGUGUAUUUCUUUUUUUCUUUUUUUAAAGUAUAUUUAUUAGUUCUUAAUUCUUAAUUCUUAAUUCUUAUACCAUAUUUACUGACUAUAUCCCAUAUAGGUGGAUCUUGUUAGUAUGAAAUUAUGUUGGCAUUUUCUAGAACUUAGUAUAGGUUUAGAAGUCUCAUUUAGUUGUAUGGUUGAAGCAAAAUUGAUGUCUUUGAUAUCUAGAAACUACAAGAUUGAAACAGCUCAAUAAUUCUCGAAUACCAGAAUUAUGACUUAACACGUAUGAGAAACAUGAUCGAAAUGGUAAGACAUGUCAUUUUUCAUGCACUUAUGAUAGGAACGUUCUUUGGAAUCUAAUAUGGUAUUAUUUCCUUGAUCUUCCUUGAUUUUAAUCCACUAGAAUCCCUUUAUGAAUGCAUCUCAUGUAGGCAUAUUUUUCAAUAUAUUUUGUUUAUUCCUUCUUUCCUUAUAUUACUAAAUUCAUACUUGGCAUAAGGCGGGUCGCUCUCUCAAGUGAGAGGAGAGUUGAGCGAAAAUAUUAGGGUUAGGUUUUCUUCUUCUUUUGUCGGUUCGUUGUCAUCACAUCUCAAUCGGAAUCCAAGGUGUUGAUAUAUUCCCUCUCCAGUGGUCAUCGUUGUCUCUUCCUCUUCCUCCACAUCUUGUCCAAUUCAGUUUUGGUUAAUGAUAGCCUUGGUUCACUAGGAGACUUAGGGUGUAACGGUUCCGUAGUUCUAUGCCCUAGUAUUUUCGCCUCUAUCGUGUGUGCCAAUCACCAUUCGUCCUCUUAGUGCAAUUGGGGUCUGUCGGUUGUGGGUUUUUGUGUAAUCAUGUGGUUGGCUUACAUCAGUGGCUUCGGCGCACGUGUCUCCUUCUUGGUGUAGUGGGUAUUCUUCAUGUCUUAAUAUCCCGUUGCCAUCUCCCUUCCAGUUCGCGAUCAGGAUGUGGUCAAUGAGGACAUUGAGAGCUCAUUUGGCAGUUGCUUGGUUCUUAUGCCAAGGGAACAUGCUGGUGUGGUUAUUGGUUCUUCAACAGUCUCUGAUAGUUUUAUUGGCUUUACUUAUAGCCUUGUGGCUAAAGUCUUUAUGGAUCAAAUUGUCAACCUUGAUGGCUUUAUCAAAACCAUGUCUCAAUCAAGGAACUAUAUUCUAACAGGUUAUGGGUGUGCUUUAUUAGUGCUCGAGAUAAGAAAAGUGUUCUUAACAUGGAACCCUGGCCAUAUCGGUGUUCCUUGAUUUUUCUGGCUAAGAUCCCGGAUGAUGGUAGUAUGCACUCUAUGCCAUUGAUGUAUGGAAAUUUCAGGGUACAUUUACGUGGUGUACCUAGUUUUUGCAUGAUAGUAGUAGUUGUUCAGGCCAUCGAUGCCAUAUUUGGGGACCUUUUUUUAGGGAUAACCGAGAUAGCACUAAUUGUGUAAGUCACUUUAUUUGCAUUCGUGUGCGGUUUGAUCUCACCCUACCCCUUACUCGUUGGACACCAAUUAUCUUUCUAGAAGUUGGGGAGAAAUUGGUGGAGUUCAAUAUGAUUACCUUCCUGAAUAUUACUUUGCCUGCGGAGGAAUUGGUCAUUCUUCUCAAGUGGGUAUUAAGAAAUAUGAAACCACCCAUGGGGCGAUUUCCCCUUCUUAUAGGGUACUAGUAAUUCUCCAUGCUAUGAGGGUCUCUGGAACAAAGAUGGGCCGGGGGAUUGGGGUAGUUUUGAUAAUCGAUCUUGGCGAUCUAGUUCUCAAGGCAAGAAUGAGCUUCAGCUUUCUGUCUCCACUUCAACCCUGCCACAUCGUUACCAAGUGUUGAAGGUCGUAGAUACUAUAUUUCAACAAAGUGGGCUAUCUAAUAAUGGUGUUCACUCCUUAGUACCACCUCCACCGGUCCAGUGGGGUCUGUGUCGGAGUUUGGGGUUCUCCCCAUGGAUAUCCCCUAAAAGGAGGUGAGUUUGCAUGAACCCCUUGCGGCUUUGGGUGCCCAUACUGUUUUGCAAGUGGAAGUUGCAAAUAGUGGAAUCAUGGCUACGUCUUGGAAUAUUAUGAGUUCGGCUCUAUCUGAUCCUUUUAAUUUGAUGCCUAUUAUCUAGUUUUCUGAGGAUCUCCAGAAGAAUAGGGGUCAUGACACAACCUAAAAAUACGAGGUAGGUUCAAGGAGUGCAUUUGUAAAUAUCAAUGUGAAACUUAAGAAUCCAGGCGAUGUCUCUACUGGCAAUGAUGUAACGGGUCCUGAUGUAGAUUCAACUGGUCCUAAAAGAUUUUGUAAUGGUGCUUGUUCUAAUAAGGCUGAGGAGACCGAUCGUAUGGGGUCUCUUGGUGUCCCCACUUAGUGCACAGCUUGAGCAUUCGUGGGCUUGGCAUUCGAUGAAUGCUCUAUUAGUUGAAUUCUCUAUUGGUUAAGUGAUUGAGGCUGGAUUUUUUUUUCCAGUGUGGUGUCUCUUUUUGUCGUCUCCCCUCUACAUACCUCUCAAUUCUUUUGCUACCUAAAAGACUAUGGUACUUUCAUAGGAGUUUUCUCCUGAAAAUUUUAGGAUGCAAAGGUGUGCUCAUUGAGGGUUUUCUUUGUUUGCUUUUUCGGGUUUGUUUGUAGUGUUUUUCUUCUGUUAUGUUGACUCUUUACAUAUUAUCUCACCCAUGCGCCUCCCGAAGAACUAUGCUUGGCCAUAUGAGGUUUUCUUCCUCAAGUUCUGCGUUGAGUUGGUGUGCUCCUAUGUGGUUCUUCAUUGUUGUCGUCUAUGUGUUCUCUUAUAGAAGGCUUCUUUUGACAGUUGGGAUGCGUUAGUGCGCUCUUUUGUGAGGUCUUCUGUGUCGGUUUCUAGUAGGUUUUCCCUUCUGGUUCUUUGUAGCAGUGCAAAGUGGCCUAAGUUGGACUCUUCUGUUAAUCCAUGUCAUGUAUGGUACUAUUUCCUACCUUGAGGUUUGUCCCAUAUAGUUUUCCUAGGAAGAUUUUAACGAGGCCAUUAUAUUCGUGUCAAUCUAUAUAUGCCUUUUAAAGUGUGUUUGGAUGAGGGAAGUAAACUUGGGAUUUUGACAAGAGUCAGAAUUUCUAAAUUGACAGGAUCCCUUCCCGUGUUUGGAUAAAUAAAAACAUAUAAAUUUAGAAAUUCGGCAUCGGAAAAAACAUGGAAUUUGGAGGUCAAAAAUCCCAACUUUAAAUUGUACCCGUUUGGAUGAAGAAAUUGUAAAUUACGUAGAAUUUAAAAUGACAGAAUUUAGAUUUCCGUCAUUUCAAUUUCUGGCAAUUAAUUUCAGUGUUUGGAUUUAUGUAUAUCGAAUUUUUUAAAUGACAGAAAUUAAAAUUUUCAAUGUUUGGAUAGCUCAUGUAAAUUGUAAAUGACAGAAAUUAAAUAUUUCGAAAAAACAAAAAAAAUUGAUAACUGACAUAGAAGGUAUUCCUCGAAGUAUAAACUAAUAUAUAGUUUGAUGAACUAAAUAACUCAACCUAAACAAACAGAGCAUAUUAGCAAACUAAAUAACUCCCCACGUGCAAUAAUCAUCAACAACAUACUCUUUUUUUUCCCAAUUGGGAGUACCUUCAGCAUCUGAAAUUGUUCGUCAUUUUCUAUUAGCCAAGCACAUGCUUUGAGUUGUUCAUUUUCACUAGACCUGGUACUACUUGUACUUCAGCGUAUACCUCUGCUGGAUCAAGGUUUAGUAUCAGCAUGGAUAAACUCUUCAAAUGAUAAAGCCAUUCUAGCAAUCGAAUCAACAAUAACAUCUUUGACAACACCUUUUUUCUUUGUGAGAGAAUAUCAGAAGAAUUUGAUAUGCACGAUUUCUUCUCUUUUGGCCAUUUGUUGAGGUUGGUGAAAUAUCAUCAAUAACGUGAAUAUCUUCUAAAUCUUGUGUAUCGCCAUCCAAAUCAACAUGGUCAACUUCAUUAGUAGGAGUCAUAACCUGAGUUGCAUAUGCACCUAUUUCAGUGCCCUCUCUAGUGGCUCUAUCUUUGCCACACAAAUCUACUAUAUCACCCAAUUUUCUAUAACUUUAAAUCAAAAACCUCUAGCAUCAUUAUGAGACUACCGAACAAAUAAUUAAAGUCAAAUAAGAAAGAAAGAAAACCAAAAUCGAUUUUCAACAUCAUAUAACAAUCAAUAAAGUUUUUCGUUUCCUUACAGAGUACAUAAAAAGCUUUUCAGCAGCAUAGGCUAUUUCAUUAGAGUAAGGAAACGAAGGGUAAGUUUUGGCCCUUUUUUUUUAUUGAUUUAUAAAUUUAAUGUAAGUUUUGGCACACUAGAAAAUAUGAAUUCCUACACUAUGGAAAUUGUGAAAUGACGCCUAUUUUGGUGGAAAUUAAACUCGGAAAUUUGAUGCCUCAAUUUCUAUGAUUUUUUCCAUGCGUCAUUUAAUAAAUUCCGCGCUUAAGUUGCCAAAAAAGGGAAUUAUCAAUUUCUUCUCUUAAAUUGUCGGCUUUUAGCUAAAUUCUGAGUUAUUUUCCCUCAUCCAAAUGGAGAAAUGUGAUUAUGCUUUGAAUUGGAAUAUCUCUUUUUGAAUAAAAAUCAGUCUUUCAUAGUGUGAUUAUCAAAAUCUGAUUUUGAUUGGAAUUUUCCUCUUUUAUUGUUUUGGGCCUCAUGUGUUAUCAUCUUUAGCAUAAGAAAGUAUCAUUGUGAUUACUUUCAUGUCUUGCAAAUUCAAAAUCUAUUUUGAACGUGUGUUAUGUUUUUUGGUGAAGCAAAAAACCUAUAAAACUAGACUUUUGUCUUCUUUCUUGAUUGAGCUUUCACGAUCAUUAGUCCAUAAACUUUGGAAAGUUGAGUUUUUAUUUCAGAUAAAUCAUCAAGUGUUUCAUCUUUAAUUGGCGAUUUAUCAAACACUUUUUUCAUUCAUAUUGCAUAGAUCGGUGAUUCAUACAAUUGAGUGCACCAAGACCAUUGUGGUGGUUUUCUCUGACGAGUUUGAAUCGACUAGCAAUAGCGGAGCCAAAAAAUUUAUCAAAAGGGGUCAACAUCAAAUGAAACAAAAAAAAAAAAAUUUAAUCUAAUAAUAAAAUCCUUUAUAUUAAUUUAUUUAUCAUUCCAAAUAUUUACAAAGGUUGUUGAUCUUCAAUUUGAAUUGUCUGAGUAAUUUUUUUUUGGGGUAAGAUUAUGUUAGCUUUUAGUUUUAGGUAAUUAGGUUAAUAAUUAUUAAGUUAUUACAAAUAAAAAAAUAUUUAGAAAGGUAAGUAGCACAAGUUAGUGAUGUGAGACAAAAGUUUUCAUCUUCUAUCACUCAACAUUAUACUUUUGUAGUGAUUGCAAAAGAUAAGAUAGUGAAAGUGGUCAAAUUUUAGAAAUACUAUAUAAAAAAAUCAAAUACAAACAUGUAAAAGGAUCAAAUAUGAAACAUGAGAAGGGUCACUUGACCACUGUGAGCCUUCAUUGGCUAUGCCCUUGGUGACUAGUAUCGAAUUCAACAUAAGGAGAGUUAGAAGAAUUCGGGCGAGCUUGAAGUAAUCGUGACCAGUAUUAUGUUCAACAUAAAGAGUGUCGUAAGAUCAUCCCGUGACAGAAGUUGAGUUACGAAGAAGUUGGUAAACAUGAUCUAGAAUGUGCCUGGGAUAAGUGUGUGUACUUCUUGUAAUCAUCGUUCUAUAGUGGAUUUGUUUUGAAUUGAGGAGUCCUGUGAAUUUUCCGUCUAGAUGGGCUUUUACCACAUAAAUAUGUUCCCUUUAAUUUUAUGCUCUGCACGUUCAAGAAUUGAUACACCAUAUCAAACUUGCUACCGCACUUUAUUUGAUUUUGUUGAUUAUAGUUUUAAAUUGACUUAUUCACCCUCCCCCUAGGCAUUUGUUAACUAUUCUACAUGUAAUUUUCAAAUCUCACAUGCAUUAAUAUAAGAGACGUGACAAUAGAUACAAGAAAGAUUUAAACUUAAAUAAAUAUUAAGGGUGAUUUUAUUGGCACACCAAAAUUUGCUCUUUGCACCCCACAUUCUUUUUACACCCCACUAAAUUUUAGUAAAAUUUAAAAUUACUCACUACACCUCAUUUUUCUUCCUAGAUUGCCCUCAUGAACUUCAUUUCUUAACUUACCCGUGUAAAUCCCAUCGAAAUCGUUAUCUUCUUCAGUGGUAAUCCACCGAAUUUGUUUUCAUUUUUCAAUGGCUAUCCACCAAAUAUCUAUUUCAGUUUUUUAGUGGUAGUUCACCGAAUUUGUUUCCGUUUUUCAGUGGUAGUCUAAGAAUUUCGUUUCUUAUUUCAAUGAAUUCGUUUCUUGUUCCAAUGAUCAUCUACUGAAUUCGUUAUUGAGUUUGUACUUAAUAUUAUUUUUUACUAGGAACGUGAGCACCUUGGGUGCAUGUAGAAGACAUCUACCCUUCGUUAGUGGAAUUGGGGGCUAAUCCAAAAAAUGGUAUAUUCAAAUAGGACAUUCGAAGGUCUGGAUUAGAGCAACUUAUUAGGUGUUCUUAUCGGAAUGCAGAUAAGAUUGUUGUAUCUACCUUUGUUGAGAGGUGGCAUCUUGAAACGAACAUCUUUCACAUGCCUUUUGGUGAUAUGACCAUCACAUUGGAUGAUGUGUCAUUUAUUUAGGGGCGUCACAUUGUUUUUGUUCCUUCAAUGGGAGUAAGGUCAAAAUAGCUUAUGUUAAAUUUGUGAUCGACAAUAAGUUACAAAAAAAAUAAAUAUAUUUCGGUUCGUUGCCACUGAAUUAUAGGUAAAAAUUCGGUAAUACACCACCGAACACCGUUCUAUGUUAUGGUGGAUCUCCACUACAUCUUAAGUUAACGGCCGGUCAAACACAACCAAAAUAGGUGGAAUGUUUCGGUGGCAUCCCACUAAAUUUACCUAUCGCGUUCGGUACUGGUGUGCUGAACAAAACCUUUGACCAUCAUGAAAUCCUAAACUUGAAAAAUGCCAAAAAAUAAACUCAUACCUCAUUCGAAGCCUCUCUAUAACUUCAAUCUCACCCUUCAUGAAUAAAUACAAGAUAUUUUUCACCAAUAUAAGCGUAUAAACUUCGUUAGGGUUGUAAAAACAUGAUGGUUUGAGGAAAAAGUCUAACUAGAGUUGCAGGAACAUAUGUGGGGUGUAGUGAGCAAAUUUAAUUUUUAUUUUAAACGUCUUUUUGUCCUUAACUGUAAUUAUGUAUAAGGAUUAAUAGAUUAUUCAUGUUUAAAAUUAGUAUGGAGUGCAAAGAGCAAAUAAUUGGGUGCCAAUAAAAUCUCCCUUGUAAUUAAUAGGCCAACAUAAAUUGCCAAUGUCAUUAAGACAAAUUAAACACGAAAUUUUAGUUCAUAGUUUAUCGUGUUAGAGGUUGUAACGAAACAGGUAAUUAACAUUUGUCUUUUCUUGAAAUCCUAGUCGCUCUCUCCUUCUGUGAGUUCUAAAGGAAAUCUUCAGGGGGGGGGGGGGGGGAGGGGGGAGGAAGAAGCGUUACUGCCCCUCCUCCCUCUCUUCUCUUCUCAUCUUUUCCUUUUAGGUUAGUGAAAAGUGGGGUGUUUUGAAUAAAAAGUCCCUUGUGGUGGUUUCUUCUGAGACAUGGUUAGAUUGAAGUUCCCCAUCACCACUUUUAGUUUAUGUUCUCAAUCAAAUCUUGCUCUCAAAACACAGUCCCUAUUACUGCUCAUGUUCUCUAAAUUUAAUUCUACAUCAUCUUUGACGCAGGUUGCUGCAAAUCACCCAAUUGUUCUUUGGCAAGGUUGUUGUUUUUUGUUUAUUUGUUCACUCUUAUGCGCAGGUAAAUUGUUGGAAAUUAUAUUUUCCCUAAAUCUGUUACGGAUGCGGUGGUGGGUGUGGCCGCGACGGCGCUUCUUCAGGUGGUGGUGAUAAGGUUCGUCUAGGCUCAUUGAUUGUUUUAGGGUUUCAGUUAUGUUGGGUUUGUGGGCUUUAUUUGGGCUUAUGGUUAAUUGUGGUGAUGUGGGCUAGUAGUUUUUGUCCGGUUUUUGUCCGUGUUAGUUUUGCUUUUAGCAUGUUAGUAUGUUCCCGUCUUGGAAUUUGUAUUUUAGAUGUCUUGUUGAUGUCUUCAAUUGUACUGUUUUAAAAAAAAUAUAUAUUUUUAAAACAGGGUAAUUAACUAAAAAUGGCACUCUACUUGUUGAACGAGGUUCGGAGUUAAAAUUUCAACAUUACUUUAAAUAUAAGGAAAUUGCAAGGAUUUUAGCUAUCUUCUUCCUAAAGAGACCAAGCCUAGUAGCAAUCAAUAUUGUUUUUGCUGAUUAGUGACACAAAAGUGUUACAAGACAUUCACAAAUACAAUAAAGUAAAUAAAUAAAUUAAAAAAAAUUACUAGAGUAAAACUAAAAAGACUUAUAUAAAACAUAUCUUACAAUAUCACAUGUGAAAAGAACUAAUAUUUCAACAUUACAUUACAUACAAUAUCAUAUGUUGUACAAGUCGUAAACAAUUGUUCCAUGUCUACCUAGAAAAAGAAAAAUGCUAGCACAAUUUUUUUUUUCCUCCGCUUCAAUCUUUCUCAUGUCACACUCUCUUUCGUGUACCAGAUUUUGUUGAAGGCUUCAUGCUUGAGGAGCUAUGAUGCAAAGUCUCGAUGGCCUCUUUGGUUAGGGAAUGAGAAGAUGUUACUUGGUGCAAUAUUUGAUAUCCUAACCUCUAAACCAUUUUAUUUUCACACAAGUAUGGCAUGAUGUUGACUUUGAAAUAAAAAGCUAACACUAUUUUGGUCACAAUUUUCUUUUAAAUCUUAGGAAUUUGUCUUGCAGUAUAAUGGUUUGCACUAGUGAGUUUACUAGUUAUUAGUUAAACUUAGCCUAAAAGAAAUAUUUGAAAUGCAUUUAUUCUUAGAGUACGGGAGAGGUAGUAGAGCUUUUCACAUGUCAGCCUAUAAGCAAGGCCCAAAAUAUAGAAAGGCUCUACAAUACUCAAACCUUUAGGAAUUAGUCCAUAUUGACUUUUCAAACGGACUAAAUAUACCAUACAAGCCUUGAAAAACUUAAAAAUUACAACACAACCAUCAGAGUUUUUUUUUUUCUUCAUAAAAAUCAUAAUUUAGGGAUACUAGUGGUAUUUCACACAUCAACUAGUCCUUUCGGUUUUUUUUUUUUUUUUUUUUUCAUUCAAUUUAUAGCUUUUAGUGUUUAUAUAUAAAACCAAUGCAAAAAAUGAGUUUUAUUAUAAAUCUCUCAAAACGGUAAGACCAACUCCAAAUAACUUGGAUUCUGAAAAAAUGGGUUGCAGAUAAUAUAAGAGCUCCCCAAGCUCAUUAGAGGAUAAUACACUUAAGAGAAUUAUCACUCUUUAAUAACACUCUCACUUGAAGAUAAAAAAUUUCAUCAUUUUAAAUACAUUCUUGAAAAUGCGGUUCAUGUUACAUGAAUAUUCCACUCUAUUGGGGGAAUUUCUUUCUUAGGUAUGCACCUCUUAUAGUUAUGGUUUACAAGGUUUUUUUUUAAUACUAUAUUACUCCCAUCACUAAUUAAACAUACCAAAUAAAGGAAUAGAAUUUAUAAGCACUUCAUGCUUGGCAUUUCUUAGCGGCCACAUUUGGUGCCUAGGACUGAAUUGGAUAACUCACAAGAUUCAAUAAAACUAUGGUUGAAAGAUUUUUCAUUUUGUGAGGAUUAAAAGGGGCAACAAAUCUCCUCUCCAAGAAUGAAACUUUGUCGAACUAGAUCGGACUGGACUGGACUGAACUCAACCCCAAUUUUGUCUUGUCUUCGCCACCAAACGUCUACUCGUAAAUAGAACCUAGCCACACGUAGUGCCUUCUCCAAUGCCAACCAGACGAAAUGUACUACAUUUGCUUGUGGAAACAAAUGCGUAGGCAAAUUCACUAAAUUGAAAAGACAUGAAUUAAAUUUGUGAACUGAUAAUACACAAGGACUAGCAAGUUAUUAAGCCCAAAACAAAAAGCCCCUGGCAAGUAACCAGCAUGUGAGAGAACUAUAAUAUUCACAUGAGACAACAAGACCAAGACCCGAAACUCUUAUGCAUUGCAUCUUUACGAUAGCCCUCCUCCUUUAUCCGGGCUUGGGACCGGCUGCGCCUAAAUACACAAUAUUAAGACACAGGCGGAGUUGCUAUUCAUUCAAGUAAUUGAAACAACAAAUUCUUGGAAAAUUGUGUUGAUUUUUGACGUACCAUGAGUACAUAUCACAUGGUCUUGACAUACUGUAUAGGUAUACGUACAAUAUAGAAUCUAUACUAUAAUAAACGUAGUGAUAUAUAAAUGCCUUGCUUUGAGAAAUUUUUGAAUAUAACA
rnacentral:lncRNA from 1 species